GCCGGGGGCGGGGGCGGGGCCGAGGCCAGGGCAGAGCUCCCGGCCUCCGCGGCCAUAGUAGCUGCCUGCGCUGUCCCUUCCCCUUACCCGCUCCACGCCCUCCUGGGCCGAGUGGAGUUGUGUGGUGUCGGCGGCCUCUCCCUGAGGGGAACCGCGGCUUCAGGAGCUGGGCCUCCAGUGCGGUGCGAUGUCAGGUGCCGUGACGGCUCUGUGAGUCCGAGGCCGCGGCCGUGGCGCUGGGCGGCUACGGGGCCUGGCCCGGGUCCGCUCAUGGUGCCGCCACGACGCCAUCGCGGGGCAGGAAGGCCAGGGGCGCUGAGUUCUUCACCUCCUUUUAGACUGAGAUUUGCCAAGUUUUGCGGCAUUGCUCUUGAAGAUCUCAGAAAGGCUCUUAAGACAAGACUGCAAAUGGUGUGUGUAUUUAUCAUGAACCGAAUGAACUCCCAGAACAGUGGCUUCAGUCAGCGCAGGCGAAUGGCUCUUGGGAUUGUUAUUCUCCUGCUUGUUGAUGUCAUAUGGGUUGCUUCAUCUGAACUUACUUCGUAUGUUUUUACCCAGUACAACAAACCAUUCUUCAGCACCUUUGCAAAAACUUCUAUGUUUGUUUUGUACCUUUUGGGCUUUAUUAUUUGGAAGCCAUGGAGACAACAGUGUACAAGAGGACUUCGAGGAAAGCAUGCUGCUUUUUUUGCAGAUGCUGAAGGUUACUUUGCUGCUUGCACGACAGAUACAACUAUGAAUAGUUCUUUGAGUGAACCUCUGUAUGUUCCUGUGAAAUUUCAUGAUCUUCCAAGUGAAAAACCUGAGAGCACAAACAUUGAUACUGAAAAAACUCCCAAAAAGUCUCGUGUGAGGUUCAGUAAUAUCAUGGAGAUUCGACAGCUUCCAUCAAGCCAUGCCUUGGAAGCAAAGUUGUCUCGCAUGUCAUAUCCUGUGAAAGAACAAGAAUCCAUACUGAAAACUGUGGGGAAACUUACUGCAACUCAAGUAGCAAAAAUUAGCUUUUUUUUUUGCUUUGUGUGGUUUUUGGCAAAUUUGUCAUAUCAAGAAGCACUUUCAGACACACAAGUUGCUAUAGUUAAUAUUUUAUCUUCAACAUCUGGACUUUUUACCUUAAUCCUUGCUGCAGUAUUUCCAAGUAACAGUGGAGAUAGAUUUACCCUUUCUAAACUAUUAGCUGUAAUUUUAAGCAUUGGAGGUGUUGUUCUGGUAAACCUGUCAGGGUCUGAAAAAUCUGCUGGAAGAGAUACAAUAGGUUCCAUUUGGUCUCUUGUUGGAGCCAUGCUCUAUGCUGUCUAUAUUGUUAUGAUUAAGAGAAAAGUAGACAGAGAAGACAAGUUGGAUAUUCCAAUGUUCUUUGGUUUUGUAGGUUUGUUUAAUCUGCUGCUCUUAUGGCCAGGUUUCUUUUUACUACAUUAUACUGGAUUUGAGGACUUCGAGUUUCCCAAUAAAGUGGUGUUAAUGUGCAUUAUCAUUAAUGGCCUUAUUGGAACAGUACUCUCAGAGUUCCUGUGGUUGUGGGGCUGCUUUCUUACCUCAUCAUUGAUAGGCACACUUGCACUAAGCCUUACAAUACCUCUGUCCAUAAUAGCUGACAUGUGCAUGCAAAAGGUGCAGUUUUCUUGGUUAUUUUUUGCAGGAGCUAUCCCUGUAUUUUUUUCAUUUUUUAUUGUAACUCUCCUAUGCCAUUAUAAUAAUUGGGAUCCUGUGAUGGUAGGAAUCAGAAGAAUAUUUGCUUUUAUAUGCAGAAAACAUCGAAUUCAGAGAGUUCCAGAAGACAGCGAACAGUGUGAGAGUCUCAUUUCUAUGCACAAUGUUUCUCAGGAGGAUGGAACUAGUUAGCUGUUGUCUGUAGCCCAGAGACACUUCCAUUCCGUAGAAUACAGUUUAAUACAGAAAAUGCUGGCCAAAAGGACUCACAAAAGGUCGGGAAUCUUUAUGUGUUUUUGUGUCAUUCUGAGUUUUUAGUAAAAGAAAUGUUUCCCUUCCUGAGAUAAUGAAGAGGCUGAAUAGAUAAUAUGUUUUCCUAGGCGCAGAUGGCAGAUUUGAAGUGCUCUGGCAAGCAACUUUGUGUCCCUAAUAUAUUCUCAAACCAGAAUAAGCUUUGCAAUUACUGCCAAAAUGUCUCAGAGGGCAUGAGGUUAAUCGAAGCUGGAGAGGACUGGUAAAAGAGGCAGCUGCGAGACCCUGAGAAGCACUCCAUUUGCUAUGAGGUUUGUAGGGGCAGCACUUUGCUGUGGGGCUCGGUAAGGGGAUUGGUUUUAAUACUGGAAUUAUAUUUUACUGGCUUUUAAUCAUAAAUAGGGAAAUCCAUUUUUCCCACACGUAAGAAUAUACGUAAGCUAAUUUGGUCCAUAAUUAGAAAAAUCAUUGCGUUUAGUAUAUGGACUGUAACAAUAGGAGUCAUCACUCAUGAGUCGUAUGACACAUUGUUUCCCUCUGGUGAAGUUUUACUUUAAGAUCUGCUGGGCAUAUCUGGGGAGAGAAAGAGAUGAAGGUCAAGACAUGCUUAUUUUUAUAGAUGAGAGAGAGAGAGGCAAAGAGAUUCAUUAAACUUUGAGUUAUACUUUAUUUUUAUUUAUUUAUUUAUUUUUGAGAUAGGGUCUUGCUCUGUCACCCAGGUUGGAGUGCAGUGGCACGAUGUUGGCUCACUGCAACCUCUACCACUAGGGCUCAAGCAAUUCUCCCACCUCAGCCUCCCAAGUUGCUGGGACUACAGGUGCACACCACUGCACCUGGCUAAUUUCUUUAAUUUUUAGUAAAGAGGAGGUCUCGCUAUGUUGCCCAGGCUGGUCUCGAAUGCCUGGCCUCAAGCAAUCUGCCUGCUUUGGCUUCCCAAAGCACUAGGAUUACAGGUGUGAGUCACUGUGCCUGGCCUAUAUUUUAUUCAGCAGGAAUCUUUGCUAUUUGCUAUGAUUUUUAAUUCUUCUUGCUUCUUAAUUUUGCUUCCUCGAUGAGCGUGUUAAAUGUUCUUUAAAAUCUUCCUUUAAAAAUAUCAUAAAUAUAUUAAACAGCAGUGCUCUAAUUGAAUGUGCUAAUUUGACAAAUAUUUGAGUGGAUACCUACUAUUUGCAGAGCUUCAGGGAAUACAUUGAUGAGUAAGAUAGUCUUUUUUUUGUUUGUUUGUUUGAGGCAGAGUCUUGCUCCGUCUUCCAGGGCAGCGGUGCGAUCUAACCUCACUGCAACCUGGGCCUCCUGGGUUUCAAGUGAUUCUCCUGCCUCAGCAUCCCAAGUAACUUAGAUUACAGAAAAACAUUACCACGCCUGGGUAAUUUUUGUAUUUUUAGUAGAGACAGGGUUUUACCAUGUUGGCCAGGCUGGUCUCGAACUCCUGAGCUCAAGUGACCUGCCUGUCUCAGUCUCCCAACAUGCAGGUAUUACAAGCGUGAGCCACUGUGCCUGGUGAAUAAAAUAGUGUUUAAUCUCAAGGAGUUUGUGACUUUUUUCUUCAGGGAGGUGAUAAGAAAAUAUGUAAAAACAAUAAACAUAGGUUAAACAGUUGCCAUUAUAGAGUGUGGGUCAGGGGUAUUCCUAGGCCAUCAAAGGAAUGGGGAAGGCUUUUUACCAAGCUUUUCUAGCCUGUGGACCAUGGGCUGCAUGUGGCCUAACACAAACUCUCGUAAAACAUUAUGAGAAUUAUUUUAUGUUUUUUUUUUUUUUGUUGUUGUUGUUUUGCUCACCAGCUAUUAUUAUAGUGUAUCUUAUGUGUGACCCAAGACAGGUCUUCUUCCAGUGUGGCCCAGGGAAGCCGAAAGAUCAGACACCCUUGCACAGAGAAAGUAGCACUUGAGAUGGACUUGAAGGCUGAAAUUAAACUUUGAGAGGUGUUGUUGACAGGCAAGAGAUAGGAAGCAAAAAACUGCAUAGAGUUGGAGAAAUUUAUUGGUGUUUGGGGAAAGCAAGUAGUUCAGUUUGGCAGCAGUUGGAAUAGGUGUUAGGGAAUAAUGGGAAACAGAGUUAGAAAAGCAAAUUGUGAAAUACUGUGUAUCAGUCAGCUCAGGCAGUUAAACCGCAGUAACAAAGGACUCCAAAUCACAGCAAGACUACAAGUGUUUGUCCCUUACAUUACAUUUCCCUUGUGGGUAUCUAUAGCUCUGUUUCAUGGCUUUUUUGUUCUGGGCUCAGGCUGAAGAGGCAGCUUUGAUCUGGGUUAUCAUCAGUUCUGGCCAAGGGAAGGAAAAUGUGGCAGAACUGCUCAAUGGUUCUCAUAGUGCCUGCUUGACUGUGGCAUAUGUUACUGCUGCUCACAUUUUGUUGGCCAGAGCAAGUCACUUGACCAUGCCUGCCAUCCCUGGGAAAGGGGAAAUAUAAUCCUCUUACAGGAAAGGACAACAAACAGGUAAAACAAUUUACCAAAAGCCUUAAAAGCCAGUGUGAGACUUUUGCAUUUAAAUCUUUAGAUGGUCUGGAGCCAUGGCAAGUUUCUGGACAAGAUCAUAUGGUUUAGUAAAACAAACAAAAACAUCAGGGUUGUUUUUAUAUUGUGUGUGUAUUUGUGUGUAUGUGUAUGCAUGUACAUAAGAAUUCUUUAGGGUAUUCGUUUUAAAUGCAGGUUCCAGGGUUCCAGAAGGUCUGAUUCAGUUAGCCCAGGAAUCUGCACUGUAGCAGGCAGCCAAGUGGAGCGCACGUAGAUUGUCCACAGACCUCAUUUGAAAAACCCCUGGCACAAGGAAUAAGUGGAGAGUGCUCAGGCAAGUGCAGGUGAGACUGGGCAGUAGUGAGGGAAUGGCAGGUAGGUCGUGAGUGCAGAAGCCCAGGUGCAAUGUGGGCACAUGGUAAAUGGCCAGUACGAAGGCAGACAGAUGCAGAGAGAACAGAGAACUAGAAUUACUCAAGGAGGGAGGCUAUGGUGCAAACAGCCGGGAAACAGGAUAGUGGAAGGAGCAAAUCUUAGGAGCUGAGAUUAGGAAUAUGAGGGGAGUCUUGAUCUUCCCUGAGAAGGAGGAGGUAAGCCUAGCUGAUGCCAGAAAAAGCUGAGAACUUGAGGAGAGCAGAGGCAGUAAACAGGAAGUUGCAGGAAACUCAAUGCUUGUAAGCAGCUAUUGAAAACAGUGUUGACUAAAAACCACUACGUAAAUUUGAUUUUGCAUUUGGCCAGCAGAGGGCGCUACAGUAGCACAUAUUGUUUGGGCUCGGCCACCCAAACAGUAAUGGCUGCUCCUGUCCAAUACGAUUAUUAACCCGACCUACAGUGCAGAAUUUCUGGCGCUUCGUUUAUUACUUUUAUAGCCAUGAACAUUUUUAGAAGGAACUUUUCAGGUUUCUAUUUAAUUAUUAAGGAAUCUAGGGUUUUUUUUGAACUGCCAGUUCCUACAGUCAAAAAGAAAUUAAUUCCACGGAGUUUAAGGGAAUUAUUACCCAUUUAUUGACUUCACUUGAGGCAUGGAGUGGAGAUUAGGACACAGAGGAGAAAAGACCCAGAAGAGAGAACAGUGCAUUUGUAGCAUGACUUCUGGAAGUGUAAUUGCUGAGCCCCAGGGGUUGGAACCUUACUUUUUUAUUUUUUUAAGGCAGAGUCUCGCUCUGUCACCCAGGCUGGAGUGUAGUGGUGCGAUCUCAGCUCACUGCAACCUCUGCCUCUCGGGUUCAAGCAAUUCUUCUGCCUCAGCCUCCUGAGUAGCAGGGAUUACAGGCUGGUAUUUAGGCGGUAACAUGGUAUCACCAUACCAUGCUAGUUUUUGUAUUUUUAGUAGUGACGGGGUUUCACCAUGUUGACAAGGCUGGCCUCAAACUCCUGACCUCAAAUGAUCCGCUGGCCUCAACCUCCCAAAGUGCUGGAAUUACAGGCAUGAGCCACUGGCCCAGCCAACUUUUAUGACCAGAUAGUAUUCCAUUGUGUGGACAAACAACAUUUUUAAAAUCUCUUCACUAGUUGUUGGGUGUUUGGGUGGUUUCUACAUUUUGGCUAUUAUGAAUAGUGCUGCUGUGAAUGUUUGUGUGCAAGUUUUUGUGUGUGCAAGUUUUUGUGUGGACAUGUUUUUAUUUUUCUUGGAUAUAUACCUGGGAGUAGAAUUGCUGGGUCAAAUGGUAACUCAAUAUUUAUUUAUUUAUUUAUUUUUGAGACAGAGUUUCGCUCUUGUUACCCAGGCUGGAGUGCAAUGGCGCGAUCUCGGCUCACCGCAACCUCCGCCUCCUGGGUUCAGGCAAUUCUCCUGCCUCAGCCUCCUGCGUAGCUGGGACUACAGGCACGCGCCACCGUGCCCAGCUAAUUUUUUGUAUUUUUAGUAGAGACGGGGUUUCACCAUGUUGACCAGGAUGAUCUCGAUCUCUUGACCUCAUGAUCCACCUGCCUCGGCCUCCCAAAAUGCUGGGAUUAGAGGCGUGAGCCACCGCGCCCGGCCAGUAACUCAAUAUUUAAUGUUUUGAGGAACUGCCCAACUGUUUUCUACAGUGGCUGUGCCAUUUUUCCUUUCCAUCAGCAGUGUGUGAGUGUUUCAGUUUCUCCACAUCCUCACCCACAUUUGUUAUGUUCUGCUUUUUAGGGGCUUUCUUGUUUUCAUACGGCCAUACUAAUAAGUAGAAGUGGUAUAUCCCUGUGGUUUUUUUGGUUUUGUUUUUAUGGUCGAUGCUUGAGAUCGUUACUCUUGUGUGUCAACUUGACUGGGUGAUGGGAUACCCAGCUGGUUGGUUAAACCUUAUUUCUGGGUGUGUUUGUGAAGGUAUUCCUAAAAAAGGUUAGCAUUUGAAUGGUUGGACUGAGUAAAGAAGAUAGCCGAUGUGGGUGGGCAUUAUCAGAUCUACCAAGGGCCUGAAUAAAACAAGAAAGCAGAGGAAGGUUAAAUUAACUGCUUGACUACUGAGGUGGGGCAGCAGUCUUCUCCAGCCCUCACCACUCCUGGUUCUCAGGCCUUAAGACCUGGACUAGAACCUAGACUAUUGAUUCUCCACCUCUCAGACUUUCAGAUACACCACAGGCUUUCCUAGGUUUCCAGUUCACAGGUGGUUCACAUCGGGACUUAGCCUCCAUAAUCAUGUGAGCCAGUCAAUAUCUUUUUUAUUUAUUUUAAGUUCUGGGAUACCUAUGCAGAACAUGCAGAUUUGCUACAUAUGUAUACAUGUGCCAUGGUGGUUUGCCACACCUAUCAACCUGUCAUCUAGGUUUUAAGCCCCACAUGCAUUAGGUAUUUGCCCCAAUGCUCUCUCUCUCUUUGUCCCUACCCCUUGACAGGCCCCGGUGUGUGAUGUUCCCUUCCCUGUGUCCAUGUGUUCUCACUGUUCAACACCCACUCAUGAGUGAGAACAUGUGAUGUCUGGUUUUCUGUUCCUGUGUUAGUUUAAUGAGAAUGAUGGCUUCUAGCUUCAUCCAUGUCCCUGCAAAGGACAUGAACUAAUUCUUUUUUAUGGCUAUAUAGUAUUCAAUGGUGUAUAUGUGCCACAUUUUCUUUAUCCAGUCUAUCAUUGAUGGGCAUUUGGUUUGGUUCCAAGUCUUUGCUAUUGUAAAUAGUGCUGCAAUAAACAUACGUGUCCAUAUGUCUUCAUAGCAGAAUGAUUUAUAUUCCUUUGGGUAUAUACACAGUAAUGGAAUUUCUGGGUCAAAUGGUAUUUCUGGUUCUAGAUGAGCCAAUCUAUAUCUUAUAAAUAAACAAUCAAACAAACAAAUCCUACUGGUUCUGUCUUGCUGGAGAACACUGACUAAUCCAAUGCUUUAUUUUGUUUAUUUAUUUACUGUGGUAAAAUAUACAGCACAUAAGAGUUAUAAUUUUAGCCUUUUGUUGUUGCUGUUGUGAGACAAUACUCUUGCCCAGGCUGGAGGUCAGUGGUGCAGUCACAGCUCACUGCAGCCUCAACUUCCAAGGCUCAAGCAAUCCUCCCACCUUAGCCUUCCGAGUAGCUGGGACUACUGGCAUGUACCAGUAUACCCAGCUAACUUUUUAUUUUUUGUAGAGCUGGGUUCUCCCUAUGUUGGUUUUGAACUCCUAGGCUUCCAAAAGGGCUAGAAUUACAGGUGUAAGCCACCGCACCUGGUCUGUUAAGCAUUUGUAAUUGUACAGCUCAGUGGCUACUCUGGGCUUGCUGGCGAUUUGUAUAUCUUCCUUGGAGAAAUGUCUGUUCAAGAUCUUUGCUCAUGUUUGAUUUGGGUUGUGUUUUUAUUGUUGAGUUGUAACUAUUCUUUAUAUAUUCUAGAUACUUGCCUCAAUUGUAACUGCAGGUGUCUGAAUGAUGGAGGUGACUGAAUGAUGACGCAGAGAGGUCAACACUAGUGAAAGAAGAGGUUUCUUACUUACAUUUCCUGAGAGGAGGGCACAUGCCACAACACACAGGGCCACAGCGGAAGCACCAGGAUGGUCAAGAGGUAAAAGAUGAGUGAGAAGGCAGGGGCCAGAGUCUUUAUUGGGGUUUCUGCAGGAAAGGCGAGGCAGGACAGGGCUAUUAGUUUAGGACUGGCUACUCUGAAUAACAUUGGUGAGCUUGGGCUAUAGGGGUGGUCUCUAGUUGCCUGGAACCUGGCCUUGGGAUGAUUUAGGAUAAGGGAAAUAUUGGUUUGGUGUGUGAGAGAGUUAUAUAGACGGUAGGUGGAGGCAUAGACUUGAAUCAGCCUGUCUGCAUGAAAGAAUUUCAGGCAAGUUGAAUUCCAAUGAUGUAUAUAUUGGUCCAGUUGUUUGGUAAUACAUUUCCAAGCUUUUAAAAACAGUGAAUCAUAUGUGGACGGGAACAACUCUCCCUCACUUGACUCCUGCACCCAGGCUUUCCUCUCUGUGGGAAGGCAUCAUCCUUGUGGGGGAAUGCCCCUCCUGGAAGGAAAGAGGUAAACAUUUGUCUGCUGCCCGGCAGUUACUAGAUGCCAAAUAGAUAUAAAGAAUCUAAGGCCAGGCAUGGUGGCUCACACCUGUAAUCCCAGCACUUUGAGAGGCCAAGGCAGGUGCAUCACUUGAGGUCAGGAGUUCGAGACCGGUCUGACCAAAAUGGAGAAACCCUGUCUCUACUAAAAAUACAGACACUAGCCAGGUGUGGCAGCAUGCACCUGUAAUCACAGCUACGUGGGAGGCUGAGGCAAGAGAAUCACUUGAACCUGGGAGGAAGAGGUUGUGGUGAGCCGAGAUCAUACCACUGCACUCCAGCCUGGGUGACAGAAUGAGAUUCCAUCUAAAAAAAAAAAAUCUAAGAAACCACAGGACAGUAUUAGAUAGGCUCUGAAUAGAUAUAUAUAUAGUUGGCAAACAUAUUCUCCCAUUCUGUGGGUUAUCGUUACACUUUUUGGAUAGAGUUUUUCAAUGUUUAAAAGUUUUAAAUUUUGGUGAAAUUUAUUUCAUCUAUGUUUUUUUCUUGUUGCUUGGGCUUCUGACACAUGCUGUGAGGGAGUUGGCAUUCUCAGAGCAAGGAACCCAUUGCUAAGUCUAAGAUCAUAAGAAUUUAUCCCCGUGUAUUCUCCUGAGAGUUUUAUAGUUUGGCUCUUACAUUUAGGUCUUUGUUUCAUUUUGAGUUAAUUUUUUAUAUGGUAUGAGGUAAGGAUAUAUCUUUAAAAAUUUUUUUAUGUUAUAAACUGGUAAGUUAAAGACUAUAAAAGACAAUUUGGUGAUAUUUAUUACAAAUGUAUAUCCCUCCCAAUUCUAUUUCCGGGAUUGUAUUCUAUAGACACAGGCAAAAGUUAUAUGUAUAAGGUACUUCACUGCAACCUUCUUUUUUUUUUUUUUUGAAUAAUAGUAAAGCAUUGUAAACAGUCUACAUGUCCCUCAAUAGAGACUUCAAAAUAAAUUGUGCAACAGAUAAAAUACUAUAGGGCUACAAAGAAAAUGAAUUUCUGUGUGUGCUGCUUUGGAAAGCUCUCCAAAAAAUAUUGUUCAAUGAAAAGAAAAACAAAGUUUAGAUCAGAUUUUUUUUUUGUGUGUGUGAAACAUUUGGAACAAUAAAAAUCUAUAUGCACACUUGUUUUUGAAGUUUUUAAUUUUUUUUUUUUUGAUAUAGAGUCUUUGCUCUGUUGCCCAAGCUAGAGUGCAGUGGUGUGAUCUCGGCUCACUGCACCUCUGCCUCCCAGGUUCAAGUGAUUCUCCGGCCUCAGCCUCCUGAGUAGCUGAGAUUACAGGAGUAUGCCACCACACACAGCUAAUUUUUGUAUUUUUACAAAAUACAAAAGAGAGGAGGUUUUACUAUGUUGGUCAGGCUGGUCUUGAACUCCUGACCUCAAAUGAUCCACCCAGCUCAGCCUCCCAAAGUGCUGCAAUUAUAGGCAUGAGCCACCACGCCUGGCCUAAGUUUAAAGAAAAUUUUAAUUAAAAAAUAAUUGCAUGUAUUUAUGGUAUACAAAAUGAUGUUUUGAUAUACAUAUACACUGGGUAAUGAUACAACCAGGCUAAUUAGCAUAUCCAUCACCUUAAAUAGUUACCAUUUCUUUGUGGUGAGAACAUUUAAAAUCCUCUCCUUCAGGUCUUUUGAAAUACACAAUCCAUUAGUAUUAACUAUAGUCACCAUGUGGUGCAAUAGAACACCAGAACUUAAUCCUUCUAUCUGAUGAUAACUUUGUACCCAUUGACCAACCUCUCCCCUUUCCCUGCCCGACCCCCCUCCAGCUUCUGGUCACCAUCAUUCUACUCUCUACUUCUGUGAGCUUGACCUUUUUAGAUUCCACAUGUAAGUGAGGUCAUGCAGAAUCUGUCUCUCUGUAUAUGCAUAUGUCUUAUAUACAAGUAAAGAAGCUGUGCAAGGAUUUGUAAGACACCAAGGAUGGGGCAUCCCCACAGCGAGGCAGGUGCUGGGUGCAGCAGGUAAGUGAGAUAGAGUUGUUCCGGUCCACACUUGAUUCACUGUUUCCAAAAACAUGGAAAUGCUUUACCAAACAAUUGGACAAAUAUACGUCAAAAUUUAAAAAGAACCUUCUGCAGAAAAGAAAGGAACAAUGGGGAUAAGAGAGCCGCAUUGUUAUGGGUGUUGCACGUAUAAUAUUUUGUUCCUGUUGAAGCUCCAUGUUUUCUUAGCCGGUUUUCUCAUGACUACUGAUGUACUAAGUACAGUCACACCAGAACUGGCUGAGGCUAGACUGUGGGCUGUGGCCCUGGGGCAGAGCAGCAAGCUGGUCCCGGGAUGCCAAAUAACAGCCCUGGCCUGGUCCACACAGUAAAGAGCAGACCUCACAUAGGAAGGUUUACCAUCAAGGAGUCCAGACAGAAAGGCUGUUCUAGAACCCCUCUCACUUAAAUAAAGAACACAAGCCCAAGUGAAUACAUGGUUUUAUUGUUUUACCAAUAAGGUUCUUGACACCAGAUAACUUACUUACCUAUCCCUAGGCAACAGAAGGUAAGUGUCCUUGAGAAGAAUAUCCCUUCACAGGAAAUUCACAUCUGUCCUUGAGCCUGGAGAGAUUGGACAGAGACCCACUCCACUAGUUGUUUUGUUGCUCUUAUCUUUAUGAAGUUCUGAAGUUGUUUCUAGACAUUCCCCUCCCAUCAAAUCCUUCUAAAAACAGUUAUGGCUAAAGCCUGUUUUUGCUGAAACAACACUCUCUUCCUUAAUAGAAAAUUGUCUAUUGAAAAUGUAUUUUUCCUUUCUGGCUUCUGUGGUUAGUAGAGCAACACUUGCAAAACUGGUCCCAGACCUGUGAGCCUGAGACAGGAAAUCUGCAAACCCACAGUGGCCACCAUGUGUACUUUUCACUCUUUCUGUGUGUGCUAGACCAGAAGACCUGUGCUGGCACGCCGUUCUGACACAGGCUGUGAGAGAGUCGACAUUCUCAGAGCAAAUGCCACACAUGUGGAAGAUGGAGAAGCGUCAUGUGAAGGAAAAGUCUUCAAAGAGAGAUGAAAGGAACUCUACUUCUGCCUUCCAUUCAUUGCUAGGGUCCUCUUAUCUUUGACAAGAAACUACAUCAUCUUUUGAUUAAAAUCUCCAGAGAUGUGAACUAACGUCUGCCAAAGAGAAGUCCUGUGGGUGGAUAGCUUUCUGGUUUAACGCAUUUCCCUGCAUUUCACUAUUUUGCUUUCCUAAGAGCUUGGUGUUGCCCCACUGAGCAAGGCUGACUCUUGUGGAGGCCCUUCAAAUAUGGGGUGUUAGUUCUACUGUCUAUCCUGUGAGAUAUUUCCAAGGUGAGUCACACCUUUCCCCGGGAUUGUGGCCCCAUCUGUGAUUCGGAUCUUCAGAUUGCCAGUGUCCCCUGCAGUCAGGCUUGUAUAUUGAUGCUAGAUUUACUGAAAACAGCUUUACCUUUGCCAAUCAUUUGUUGAAAAAUCAACAGAGUGUUCCUGUCAUAGAAAAACACAUUUCCUGCUAAGACUUUUUUUUCCGCUCCAACAGCUCUUUGAUUGGUUUAUAACCUGGGUCUCUAUUUCCCAAUAAAGCCAUCUCCUCUUCUGAUUAGGCAGCCUUCACAGUGGUACCUCCACUUACUUUGCUCAUCUCAGCUUCUCAUCAUAUGCAUCCUGGGGUUCCUCAUCUGGUAAGCUUUACAUUGCUUUCUCCAAAAUCAUAAUUUUUUGGUAAGCUUAAAUAUCCCUUUUUUCAUAAAGCCUAUCCUGAACAACAUAAACUUCAAUUAUAUGACAUGUAUUUUGAAUGUGUCUCCUAAGUGAAUGGCUGAGGUCAGGUUCCCCAGGAAACAAACUAUGAAAUAGAGAUUUGCAUGCAGGAUGGUUAUUGGGAGUAGUCUCAAAUACAAACCUGAGGAAAUAGAAGUAAAGGAAGAAGGAUUGGAUACAGGGUAAAUUUGAAUUGUGAUGUUGUUGCAACAGAAGCUUCAGCAAAGUCAUGGAGCACCCAGGAGCUGGGAUUGCCUAUUCAGGCAGAGAGGCCAGACUUUCUAUUGCUGUAUGGACUGGAUGUGGGCUGCCUUGUGUGAGAAGCAAAAUCUUGAGCCAGAAGCUUUCUUUUGCAGAGAACAAUUUCUGGGAAGGAACUGGCUGUGAGUUCUCAGCAAGCAAUUCACCCAGCAGCUGCGAAAAUGAAGAUGAGUGUCUCAGCUCUGAGAUGGAGUCCGGGUGGCAAUCCUUAACAUGAACAACAUGCAGUUAAGAACAACCCAGCUUGUGCUUAUGUGGAUGUACAAGAGCUUCAGCAUAUGAUAUACAGAAAAACUACACAGAUCCUAAGUGUACAGCUUGAUAAAUUUUCACUUGGUGAAUAAAUCCAUGUAUCAAGCCUGCAGAACAAGAAUGAGAAGUGUCAUCUGAACACCUUAUCCAAGAAGUGUUCAUGUACCCACUUGCCGGUUCCCUAACGGCAGCGAAGAGUAGCAUCUCUCUUGACUUCCUUCACCAUAGGUUAGUUUGCUCACUCUUGAUGUUCAGGUGAAUGAAAUUUUACAGUGUGUAACUUUCACAAACUUGUGCCAACACUAUGAAUAUGAGUCAUUCAUGUUGUUAUGCACAGUUGUAAUCCAUUCAUCCUCCACAAUGUAUUUAUCUAUUCUACUGUAGAUGGACAUUUGGUUGUUUCAAGUUUGGGGACAUUAUGAUUAGUGAGACUGGACAUUCUUGUACCUGUCAUUUAGUGAAUAUGUAUAUGCACUUCUGUUGGUUAUAUAUCUAGCAAUAGAAUUGUUGAACUAUACAUAUAGCAAUGUUCCUUGGGCCAGGAGCAGUGGCUCAAGCCUGUAAUCCCAGCACUUUGGGAGGCCGAGGAGGGUGGAUCAUGAGGUCAAGAGAUCAAGACCAUCUUGGUCAACAUGGUGAAACCCCGUCUCUACUUAAAAUACAAAAAAUUAGCUAGGCAUGGUGGCGUGUGCCUGUAAUCCCAGCUACUCAGGAGGCUGAGGCAGGAGAAUUGCCUGAAUCCAGGAGGCGGAGUUUGCGGUGAGCCGAGAUUGCGCCAUUGCACUCCAGCCUGGGUAACAAGAGGGAAACUCCGUCUCAAAAAAAAAAAAAAAAAAAAAAAAAAAAAAGAAAUGUUCCUUGACUUACAAUGGAAUUAUGUCCCAAUAAACCCAUUGUAAGUUGAAAACAUUAUUACAUUUAAAAUGCUUUUAAUAUACCUAACCUACAGAACACCAAAGCCUAGCCUAGCCUACCUUAAAUGUGCUCAGAAAGCCUUACAUCAGCCUACAGCAUGGCAAAAUCAUUGGCAAUACACUAUGCCACAUAGUAUCAGUUUGUCCUCAUGACUGCAUGACUGACUGGGAGCUGUUGCUCACUGCACUGCCCAGCAUCAUGUCUCAUGAGCACUGUCAUGUAUAUCGCUAGCCCAGGAAAAUAUCAAAAUUCAAAGUAUGGCUCCGGCUGGGUCCAGAUCACACCUAUAAUCCCAGCAGUUUUGGAGGUCCAGGUGGGCAGAUCACUUGAGGUCAGAAGUUCAAGAACAGCCUGGCCAACCUGGAGAAACCCCAUCUCUACUAAAAAUCUGAAAAUUAGCCAGGCUACUUGGGAGGCUGAGGCAGGAGGAUCACUUGAACCCAGUAGAUGGAGGUUGCAGUGAGCUGAGAUCAUGCCAUUGCACUCCAGCCUGGGUGACAGAGCAAGACUCCAUCUUAAAACAAAACAAAACAAAACAAAACAAAAUAUGCCUUCUACUGUAUGUGUAUAACUUUUGCACUAUCGUAAAGUUCAAAAGUCGUAAGUUGAAUCAUCAUAAGUCAAGGAUCAUCUGCACAUAUGUUUAGCUUUACUAGAUACUGUCAAACAGCUUUCCAAAGUGGUGGCCCCAGUUUACCUGCCCACCAGAAGAGUGUGAGAGUUCCAAUUGCUUCACAGCCUUGCCAACAUAUGCUUUCACCAGUCUCUUUCAUUUCAGCUAUUUAGUGGUAUUACAUUGUGGUUUUAAUUUGAAUUUCUCUCAUGACUAAUGAAGCUGAACUUUCUUUUAAUGUGUAUUGAGCAUUUCCUCCAAAAGACAGUUUAACUCUUUUUUUUUUUUUUGGAGAGGGUCUAGCCCUGUUGCCCAGGCUGGAGUGCAGUGGUGCAAUCAUGGCUCACUGCAACUUCAACCUCCUGGGCUCAUGUGAUGCUCCCACCUCAGUCUCCUGGGUAGCUGGGACUACAGGCGUGCACCACCACACCUGGCUAAUUUUUGUAUUUUUUGUAGGCACAGGGUUUUUCCAUGUUACCCAGACUGGUCUUGAACUCCUGGGCUCAAGUGAUCCACCCAGCUCAGCUUCCCAAAAUGCUGGGACUACAGGAGUGGGCCAACAGACCUGGCCUGCUUAAGUCUUUUGUCCGUUUUUCUACUGGGCUGUCUGAGCUGAGCAAAGGCUUUUUUAUGAUAUGAUGUCAUAUAUUUAUUAAUGUGAAGAUGCUCAUGAUAGAGAAAGAGAAAUUAAGAAUUAUAAUGGUUAUAAUAUAGCUUGCUUAAUAUAAUCAUAUUGUCUUAGUCCAUUUUCUAUUGCUAUAACAAAAUACCUCAGACUGGGUAACUUAUAAAGAAAAGUAAGUUUUUCAUCUCAUGGUUCUAGAGGCUGAGAAAUCUAAGAGCAUGAUAUUGGCAUCUGGUGAGGCCUCCGUGCUGUGUCUUAACUUGGCAGAGGACAUCAUAUGACAUGAAAAAAUGUGCACAUCAGGUCAACUCUCUCUUCUAAUAAAGCCACCAGUCCCAUCAUGGGGCCCACCUGAUAACCUUAUCUAAUGCUAAUUACCUCCCAAGGGCCCCACCUCCAAUCAACAUAUGCAUUUGGGAAUUAAGUUUCCAAUACAUGAAAUUUGGGGGAUACAUUCAAAUCUUACAUAUUUUUAUUUAUAAUUAUAUAAACUUGAGGGAUAAUACACUAAAAUAGGACCCAUAACUCUCUCUAGUUGGGAAGAUCAUGAAUAGUUUUAACUUUCUACUUUCUAGCUACCCUUAUUUGUUUUUGUCUUCAUUUGUUUUAAUAACAAGCAUGUAUUACUUUUACAAUCUGGACAAACAAUAAAGCUGGUUUUAUUUUGAAACAAACAAUCAAAACUCAAAAUGAAACAAAACCUUCUCAGCAUGUGCUGGUUUGGCUAAGCCAUCAGCCUUGUCCCAUCUGGAACACCAAGAGACUCUGAGGAAAAGUGUCCUCUCUGGGCAUGUUCUGAAAGUUUGAGUUAGGAGAAGAGAGUGUAAAAAUGAAGAAUUGCUUUUAUUGCACUACAGCCAUGUGCUCCCUCCCACCCUGCUGAGCCUGGAAGAUGAUCAGGGCCAUAAAGACUGGCUAAUUACUUAAAUUACCUCUUCUUUGUAGGAGCAGGCCUUCCCAGUGCCAUUGACUGGGCUUAUUUGGUCUGAUGACUGGAGUCCUGCUGUUAGCUGGGAUGAGGAAAGCGCAUUAUUACAGUGUAUCGAGUUUUGCUCUUGUUGCCCAGGCAGGAGUGCAAUGGUGUGAUCUCAGCUCACUGCAACCCAGGUUCAAGUGAUUCUCCUUCCUCAGCUUCCCAAGUAUCUGGGAUUACAGGCACCCACCACCAGGCCCAGCAAAUUUUUAUAUUUUUAAUGGAGAUGGGGUUUCACAGAUGGAGUCUCACUCUAUCACCCGGGCUGGAGUUAAGUGAUGUGAUCUCAGCUCACUGAAACCUCUGUCUCCCAGAUUCAAGCAAUUCUCCUGCCUCCCUCAGCGUCCUGAGUAGCGUGGACCAUAGGCGCAUGCCAUCCUGCCAGCUAAUUUUUGUAUUUUUAGUAGAUACGGGAUUUUGCCAUUUUGGCCAGGCUGGUCUCAAACUCCUGAUCUCAGGUGAUCUACCCACCUCAGCUUCCAAAAGUGCUGUGAUUACAGGUGUGAGCCACCACUCCCAGCCCCUAUGGUUAUUUAGAAGUAUGCUUUUCAAAUGAUUGAGGGUUUACUAAAUUUUUUUCUGUUAAUUUUCAAUUUAGUGCCAUCACGGUUGGAGGACAUAUUUCAGAUGACUUCAAUCCUUUUAAGUUUAUAGAGACUAGUUUUGUGACCCAGCAAAGGCUCUAUCCUGGAAAAUGUUCCAUGUGGAUGUGAAAGGAUUGUGUACCCUGCUGUUGUGUGGGAGCAUUCUGUAUGUUAGUUGGGUAAAGUUGGUUGACAGUUGUGCAAGAUUUAUAUAUCCUUAUUCAUUUUAUGUCUAGUCAUUCUGUCAGUUACUUAGAGAGGGACUUGAAAUUUCUGAUUACAAUUACUAAAUUGCCCAUUUCUCAUUUCUGUUCUGUCAGCGUUUGUUGCAUGUAUGUGUUAUUCAAUGCCCUAUGUCUUUAUAAUUGUUUUCUCUUUCUGAUGUUUUGAUGCUUUUAUCAUUAUGAAAUGUUCCUAUUUAUCCCUAGCAAUAUUACUUGUUUUAAAUUCUAUUUUUUUCUGAUAUUAACAUAGCUACUUCAACACCCUUAUGGUAACAGUUUGCAUGAUUUAUAUAUAUAUUCUUCAUUCUUUUUGUUUUCUUUCUUUCUUUCUUUUUUUUUUUUUGAGAUGGAGUCUCUCUUUGUUUCCCUGGUUAGAGUGUACUGGUGUGAUCUUGGCUCACUGCAACUUCUGCCUCCCAGGUUCAAGCGAUUCUCUUGCCUCAGCCUCCUGAGUUGUUGGGAUUACAGGUGUGCACCACCAUGCCUGGCUAAUUUUUGCAUUUUUAGUGGAGAUCGGGUUUCACCGUGUUGGCCAAGCUAGUCUUGAACUCUUGACCUCCAGCAAUCUCCCCACCUCGUCCUCCCAAAGUGCUGGGAUUACAGGCAUGAGCUAGCCGUAUUUUCCCCAUUCUUUUACUUUGAAACGACUUGUCUUUGAAUUAAAAUUGCUUUUCUUGAAGACUGUUUAUGUUGUCACGUGUCAGUUAAUGAUGGGGAUAUGUUUUGGAAAUGUACCUUUCCAGAAACCUAGAUGGUGUAGCCUACUACACGCCUAGGCUAUAUGGUAUAACCUAGUGAUCCUAGGCUACACACCUGCACAGCAUGUUACUGUAUUCAACACUGCAGGCAGUUGUAACAUAAUCAGUAAAAAUAUGAUAUAAAAGAUAAAAAAAUGUAACACCUGUAUAGGGCACUGUAAGAUCUUUCAGGCUGACUGAUGGCACCAUGGAUGCCAUAUCCAUGGUGAGGUUACUCUGUGACCUGCACAGACACUCCAGAUGAGUUCCUGGAAAAUCUGAAGUAAUUGGAAAACCAUGAAAAGAGAAAGAAAUUAUUAACCCCUUCAGAGCCUACUUAACUUUGAGACAUUCUCUAUCGUUCCUUAUUCCCACCCCAAUUGAUAAGGCCAUUGGACUUUGUAACCAACCUUGGUCAACCUCAUGACUCCACACCCAACGGCCCCCUCCCAGCUUGCAAAGAACUGCCCUAAACUGUAACUUCUGUAACUUUCCAUGCCCAUGCCAAACCUAUAAAACCAACUCCUAUCCCACUGCCCUUCGCUGACUCUCUUUUUGGACUCAGCCCACCCACACCUGGGUGAAUAAACAGCCAUGUUGCUUACACAAAGCCUGUUUGGGGGGUCUCCUCAUUCAGAGCAUGUGUUUUAACACUUGCUGUGAAUGGAGUUUGUAGGGCAGAAGUUGCUCUGAGUCAAUGAGUGGAUGGUGAUUGAAUGUGAAGGCCUUGGACGUUACUGUACCCUAUUGCAGACUUCAUACACACUAUACACUUAGGCUACACCUACUUUGUUAAAAAUAGUUUUCUUUCUUCAAUAAUAAAAUAACCUUAGCAUACUAUAACUUUUCUACUUUAAACCCUUUUUAAUAUCUGAACUUUGACUUUUUUAUAAUGAUAUUUAUCUUAAAGCACGUAUUGCACAGCUCUACAACAUAUUUUCUUCUUUUAUAUCCUUAUUCCAUUUUUUCUAUUUUUAAAAUUUAUAAUUUUUUUCCUGCUUUUCAAACUUACUUGUUAAAAAUGAAGUGACAUGUGUCUAAGCCUCUACAGGGUCAGGAUCAUCAAUAUCAGUUUCCCACCUCCAUAUCUUGUCCCACUGGAAGGUCUUCAGGGGCAGUAACAUGCAUGGAGCUGUUACCUCCUAUGAUAGCAAUACUUUCCUUGGGAAUAUCUCCUGAAGGACCUGCUUGAGACUGUUUUACAGUUAACUAUUUUUUUUUUUUUAUCCACUUAUUUGAUACAACUCCAGAGUUUUAUUUUGGUGAUCUAGAAAAACAAAUGAUGGGACUAGGAAUAAUGGGGAAUGACAUAGAGCCCACAUUCUUCUCUUAUAACUGUUUAUGUUUCGGGAAAAAAUUGUCCAGAAAAGAAUUGGGCUUAGCAGUAGUACAGGUUGGCCCCAUGCUGAAGAUCCACACAUCUGGCACCCAGUGUGCAUCUCUACCUGGAUCUCCUGGAGGAAAAUCAAAACCAGCAGAGCCAAGACUAGUGUUAUUUUUCCUUCAGAGUCUCCACGGCCUCUCAGUAGAAUCUCCCAGCCAUCUUACUCAGAUCAUUGGCAGAUAGUCUCUAUUUCACUCUCUCGCUUUUUUCCUCAGUUCUUUCAAUAACUCUUUGGCUUCCACAUCUGCUUCCAGUUGGCUUGGACUGUCACAGUUCUUCAUCCAAAUGGCUGGCAGCAGCCUCAAGAGCAUCUCUACCUUAUCUCACUGCUUUGUCUAUUUCUUCCUACAAAUGGUCACCAUAGUGAUGCUCUGAUAAUGAAAAACUAAAUGUAUCAGUGGCUCUUUUAAAUGUUUUUCCAUGCCUCUCAAAAGCUUUAAUCCAGUCCAAACCCAUCAGCAUAGCAAGCCAAGGUCCCUGUGACCUGGAUUUACCUAUAUCUUACCCAACUCCCCACCAUUCCCUGGAUUUACUGAAAAAUGUACAUUCCCUGAGUGUACAUUCCACACUUUCCUUCAUGCUGCCUAGACUCUGUAUGGGCUUUUCCUUUUGCAUGGAAAACCUCCCACCAUGCGUUAAUGCUAUGCUUUCAACACUCAGCUCAAGUAUCAUUUCUUCAGGCCAGACUUCCUUCACCACCACCCCUCUCCAAUUACCUUACUCUACUGGGUGCUCUUUCCUUGUGUUACCAUAGUUUUUUUUUUUUUUUUUUUUUUAAUUUUUUGUUGGAUUUUAGGUUUUGGGGUACAUGAGCAGAGCAUGUAAGACAGUUGCGUAGGAACACACAUGGCAGUGUGCUUUUCUUUCCUUCUCCCCUUCACCCACAUUUGGCAUUUCUCCCCAGGCUAUCCCUCCCCACCUCCCCCUCCCACUGGCCCUCCCCUUUUCCCCCCAAUAGACCCCAGUGUUUAGUACUCCCCUUUCUGUGUCCAUGUGUUCUCAUUUUUCAUCACCCGCCUAUGAGUGAGAAUAUGCGGUGUUUCAUUUUCUGUUCUUGUGUCAGUUUGCUGAGGAUGACGUUCUCCAGAUUCAUCCAUGUCCCUACAAAUGACACAAACUCAUCAUUUCUGAUCGCUGCAUGAUAUUCCAUGGUGUAUAUGUGCCACAUUGUCCCGCUCCAGUCUAUUAUCAAUGGGCAUUUGGGUUGAUUCCAGGUCUUUGCUAUUGUAAACAGUGCUGCAAUGAACAUUCGUGUACAUGUGUCCUUAUAGUAGAAUGAUUUAUAGUCUUUUGGAUAUAUAUCCAGUAAUGGGAUUGCUGGGUCAAAUGGAAUUUCUAUUUCUAAGGCCUUGAGGAAUCACCACACUGUCUUCCACAAUGGUUGAACUAAUUUACACUCCCACCAACAGUGUAAAAGUGUUCCUUUUUCUCCACAUCCUCUCCAGCAUCUGUUGUCUCCAGAUUUUUUAAUGAUCGCCAUUCUAACUGGCGUGAGAUGGUAUCUCAAUGUGGUUUUGAUUUGCAUCUCUCUGAUGACCAGUGACGAUGAGCAUUUUUUUAUAUGAUUGUUGGCCUCAUAUAUGUCUUCUUUCGUAAAGUGUCUGUUCAUAUCCCUUGCCCACUUUUGAAUGGGCUUGUUUGUUUUUUUCCUGUAAAUCUGUUUGAGUUCUUUGUAAAUUCUGGAUAUCAGCCCUUUGUCAGAUGGGUAAACUGCAAACAUUUUUUCCCAUUCUGUUGGUUGCCGAUCCACUCUAGUGACUGUUUCUUUUGCCGUGCAGAAGCUGUGGAGUUUGAUUAGGUCCCAUUUGUCUAUUUUGGCUUUUGUUGCCAAUGCUUUUGGUGUUUUGUUCAUGAAGUCCUUGCCUACUCCUAUGUCCUGGAUAGUUUUGCCUAGAUUUCCUUCUAGUGUUUUUAUGGUGCCAGGUCUUAUGUUUAAGUCUUGAAUCCAUCUGGAGUUAAUUUUAGUGUAAGGUGUCAGGAAGGGGUCCAGUUUCUGCUUUCUGCACAUGGCUAGCCAGUUUUCCCAACACCAUUUGUUAAACAGGGAAUCCUUUCCCCCUUGCUUGUUUUUGUCAGGUUUAUCAAAGAUUGUAUAGUUGUAGAUAUGUUGUGUUGCCUCCGGUGCCUCUGUUUUGUUCCAUUGGUCUAUAUCUCUGUUUUGGUACCAGUACCAUGCUGUUUUGAUUACUGUAGCCUUGUAGUAUAGUUUGAAAUCCGGUAGUGUGAUGCCCCCCGCUGUGUUCUUUUUGCUUAGAAUUGACUUGGCUAUGCGGGCUCUCUUUUGGUUCCAUAUGAAGUUCAUGGUGGUUUUUUCCAGUUCUGUGAAGAAAGUCAAUGGUAGCUUGAUGGGGAUAGUGUUGAUUCUGUAAAUUACUUUGGGCAGUAUAGCCAUUUUCACGAUAUUAAUUCUUCCUAACCAUGAACAUGGAAUGUUUCUCCAUCUGUUUGUGUCCUCUCUGAUUUCGUUGAGCAGUGGUUUGUAGUUAUCCUUGAAGAGGUCCCUUACGUUCCUUGUGAGUUGUAUUCCAAGGUAUUUUAUUCUUUUUGUAUCAAUUGUGAAUGGCAGUUCGCUCUUGAUUUGGCUUUCUUUAAGUCUGUUAUUGGUGUAGACAAAUGCUUGUGAUUUUUGUACAUUGAUUUUAUAUCCUGAGACUUUGCUGAAGUUGCUUAUCAGUUUCAGGAGUUUUUGGGCUGAGGUGAUGGGGUCUUCUAGGUACACUAUCAUGUCGUCUGCAAAUAGAGACAAUUUGGCUUCCUCCUUUCCUAUUUGAAUACCCUUUAUUUCUUUUUCUUGCCUGAUUGCUCUGGCUAGAACUUCCAGAACUAUAUUGAAUAGGAGUGGUGAAAGAGGGCAUCCUUGUCUAGUGCCAGAUUUCAAAGGGAAUGCUUCCAGUUUUUGCCCAUUCAGUAUGAUAUUGGCUGUUGGUUUGUCAUAAAUAGCUUUUAUUACUUUGAGAUACGUUCCAUCGAUACCGAGUUUAUUGAGGGUUUUUAGCAUAAAGGGCUGUUGAAUUUUGUCAAAUGCCUUCUCUGCGUCAAUUGAGAUAAUCAUGUGGUUUUUGUUUUUGGUUCUGAUUAUGUGGUGAAUUACGUUGAUAGACUUGCGUAUGUUGAACCAGCCUUGCAUCCCCGGGAUGAAUCCUACUUGAUCAUGGUGAAUAAGUUUUUUGAUUUGCUUUUGCAUUUGGCUUGCCAAUAUUUUAUUGAAGAUUUUUGCAUCUAUGUUCAUCAUGGAUAUUGGCCUGAAGUUUUCUUUUCUUGUUGGGUCUCUGCCGGGUUUUGGUAUCAGGAUGAUUUUGGUCUCGUAAAAUGAUAUGGGAAGGAUUCCCUCUUUUUGGAUUGUUUGAAAUAGUUUUAGAAGGAAUGGUACCAGCUCCUCUGUGUGUGUCUGGUAGAAUUCGGCUGUGAACCCGUCUGGACCUGGGCUUUUUUUGUGUGGUAGGCUCUUAAUUGCUGCCUCGACUUCUGACCUUGUUAUUGGUCUAUUCAUAGUUUCAGCUUCCUCCUGGUUUAGGCUUGGGAGGACACAGGAGUCCAGGAAUUUAUCCAUUUCUUCCAGGUUUACUAGUUUAUGUGCAUAGAGUUGUUUGUAAUAUUCUCUGAUGAUGGUUUGAAUUUCUGUGGAAUCUGUGGUGAUUUCCCCUUUAUCAUUUUUUAUUGCAUCUAUUUGGUUGUUCUCUCUUUUAUUUUUUAUCAGUCUGGCUAGUGGUCGUUCUAUUUUGUUGAUCUUUUCAAAAAACCAGCUCUUGGAUUUAUUGAUUUUUUUGAAGGGUUUUUCGUAUCUCAAUCUCCUUCAUUUCAGCUCUGAUCUUAGUUAUUUCUUGUCUUCUGCUGGGUUUUGAGUUUUUUUGAUCUUGCUCCUCUAGCUCUUUCAAUUUUGAUGAUAGGGUGUCGAUUUUGGAUCUCUCCAUUCUCCUCAUAUGGGCACUUAUUGCUAUAUACUUUCCUCUAGAGACUGCUUUAAAUGUGUCCCAGAGGUUCUGGCACGUUGUGUCUUCGUUCUCAUUGGUUUCGAAGAACUUCUUUAUUUCUGCCUUCAUUUCAUUGUUUACCCAGUCAACAUUCAAGAGCCAGUUGUUCAGUUUCCAUGAAGCUGUGCGGUUCUGGGUUGGUUUCUGCAUUCUGAGUUCUAACUUGAUUGCACUAUGGUCUGAGAGGCUGUUUGUUAUGAUUUCAGUUAUUUUGCAUUUGUUGAGCAGUGCUUUACUUCCAAUUAUGUGGAUAUAGAGGGGUCAGGGAGCUGCUUGAGGAGACAGUCUGUACUUUUUUGGAGCUCAAUUCCUGAGCUGUGAGCUCUGUUGUUCAUUCAGGUCUGUUAGGCUGCUAUGUUUGAUUCUGCUGCAACAGAGCUCAUUAAUAAAACCCUUUUUUUCUCAAAUGCUCUGUGUUGGGGGGUUCGGGCUUUAUUUUUCGAUGUCCGAUGAGGUGUCCUGCCCAGCUAGAAGGCAGACUAGCCACUGUUUGGCUGCCGAGUCUCCGCCCUGCUGUUGUGUGAUUCGCCCUGUUCCUGCAGGCUCUGCUGUGGUGUCCGCCACGCUCUGUGGCGGAGUCUCUUCAUUGUAGCGUGUUGCCUCGGCAACGGCAGGCUGCGUCAGCAGUGGGUGUGUAUCUCAGUAGGGACGGGUUGCCUCGGCAACGGCUGGCUGCGUCAGCAGUGGGCUUGUAUCUCAGUUGGGCGGGUUGCCUCGGUAGUGGUGGACGCCCCUCCCCCACAGAGCGUCUCUGACCGUCUGCUCGGGAUAGUUUGAAAUCGCGGUUUUGUUCGUUCCACUGGGUGUCCCAAACGAUCUGUCCCUGCAAUCCCCUGGGCUGGCCUACUGUCCAAGUCUCGUUCAGUCUCAAGUCCAGCCCUCUCAAGUCUCAGGUUGCCGGUUCAACAGGGCACCCGGACAAGCGCGCCCUGUGGGGAUUGCUGGGUAGGGCCGGCCGCCGCCGCCCUGGCUGCCGGCUUCGCGAGGCAGACCUACUGCCUGGCGUCCCAUGUCUUUUUUAUACUUGGGAGUUUCCCCGUUCUGUGGGCAACAAAGAUCAGUCUGGAAAUGCAACUCCGACUCACCGUUUGCGGAUUCAACGAGAGCUCCAAUCCUGGGUUGUUCUCACAGCACCAUCUUGAGUCCUCCCCCAACUAUUUUUUAAAGUAGAUUUAUACUCUAAAAUAGCAACAACAAAAAAAGGUAUAGUAUGAUAUACACAUAAACCAGUAGCAUGCUCAUUUAUUGUCAUUAUCAAGUAUUAGAGACUGCACUCUAAUUAUGUGGGCUACCUUAUUUGACUAGUAGUAGAAUUGUUUACACCAGCAUCACCACAGUCUCAUGAGUAAUGCUUUGUGGUGCAACAUUAUGACAGCUAUGGAAUUACUUGGCAAUAGAAAAUUUUUAGCUUCUUUAUAAUCCUAUGGGGCCACCAUUCUACAUGCAGCUUGUCAUGGACUGAAAUGUCAUGAUAUAGUACAUGACUGAGGCUUGAACUUGUUUUUUUUGUACAGGUUGAUAAUGACUGCCUUUUGAUUGGUGUGUUUAAUCCAUUACAUUUAAUUAUUGAUAUGAUUGGAUUUACACGUGCCACUUUAUUUGUUUUUGUAUGUCCCAUGUCUUCUUUACCCUGUUCUCUUUUGCUGACUUCUCUUGUGUUAAACACAUCUUAUUUUUUUUUUUUAUGUGUGAGACAUUUUAAGGUCUAAGUUAUUUUAUUAACUAUUUCAAAAUUGAAUUUUCUUAGUGGUUACUCUAGGGAUUACAAUAUACAUCUUAUCACAAUCUAGCUCAAUACUGGGAAUUUUGAAAAAUGUAACAAUUUUGUUUUAAUAGCUCCAUUUUCCAUUCUUUGUGCCAUGAAUGCCAUAUUUAUUAUACCUAUCUAUGCCAUAAAUCCAACAGAACAGUGGUUUAGUUGUUGCCUUAUGCAAUCAUAAAAUAUUGAAACAUUUAUUUUAUAUUAACAAAUGUAUGUAUAUGUCAUAUGUACUUAUAUAUAUAUCUAUAAAUAUAUGUUUAAGCGAACAUUUAAAACAAACUCAUAAUAAAAGAGAAAGAAGCUGUUCUGUCUUUUAUGUUAAUACACAUAUUUAUCAUUUCCAUUGCUCUUCAUUUCUUUCGGUGGAUUCAUUUUUGGUAUCAUUUUCUUUCAACCUGCAAGUCUUCCUUUAGUACUUCUUAUGCAACAGUUCUGCUAGCUGCAGAUUUUGUUUUUGUUCAUCUUUCUUUUGAGGCAGAAUAUUUCUCUGUUGCCCAGGCUGGAGUGCAGUAGCAUGAUCUUGGCUCACCGCAACCUCCACCUCCAGAGUCCAAGUGAUUCUCGUGCCUCAGCGUCCUGAGUAGCUGGGACCAUCACCAUGCCCGGCUAAUUUUUGUAUUUUUUGUAGAGUUGGGUUUCACCAUGUUGGCCAGGCUGGUCUCAAACUCCUGAGCUCAAAUGAUCCACCCGCCUUGGCCUCCCAAAAUGCCGGGAUUACAGGUGUGAGCAGUCGCACCCAGCCUGUUUUUAUAUAUCUUUCAGUGAAUUUAUUUUACCUUCAUUUUUGAAAGAUAUUUUGCUGGACAUAUUGGUUGACAGUUUUUUUCUUUGAGUCUUUUGAAUAUGUUGUUCUACUGCCUUUUGAUCUCCAUUGAUUCUGAUAGAAACUCUGUUAAAUACGUUGUUGUUCUUGUGUACAUUGGAGUUAUUUUUUUCUUACUGCAUUCAAGAUUUUUAAAUUGCCUUUGGCUUUUGGCAAUUUAACUAUGAUGUGCAAAUCUCUUUGUGUUUUUCUUACUUAAGUUUGUUGGGCUCCUUGAACCUGCCGAUUAAUGUUUUUCAGCGUAGUUGGGAAGUUUUCAGGGCAUUAUUUCUUCAAAAAAAUUUUUUUUAACUUUUUCCUCCUCUCCGCCCCUUCAGGACUCCUAUUUUAUGUAUGUUGGUAUGCUUGAUGUUGUUCCAGAGGUGUCUGAGGCUCUGUUCAUUUUUCUCCAAUCUUUUUACUCUGUGUUCUUUAGAAAGGAUAAUUUUUUUUUUCUUCUUUAAAAAAUUUUUUGAGAUAGAGUUUUGCUCUUGUCACCCAGCCUGGAGUGCAGUGGCAUGAUCUCGGCUCACUGCAACCUCCACCUCCUGGGUUCAAGUGCUUCUCCUGCCUCAGCCUCCCAACUAGCUGGGAUUACGGGUGCCUGCCACCACGCCUGGCUAAUUUUUUAUAUUUUUAGUAGACAUGGGGUUUCAUCAUGUUGGUCAGGCUGGUCUCGAACUCCUGACCUCAGGUGAUUCACCCACCUUGGCCUCCCCAAGUGCAGGGAUUACAGGUAUGAGCCACCAUGCCUGUCACAGAAAGGAUAAUUUCUACUGAUCUAUUUAUAUCUAUAGAUGUGAGUUGACAGAAGGAAAUAAUCAGUAAGUUCAGACUCCUGAUGUUCUUGUAUGACAUUUGAGCAGGUUUCACGAAUAGAACGUUUUUUGUUUAUUAUUUGUUUUUGGUUGAUUUCCAGUCCUAAAAUACCUGUUUAAACAAUUUUAUACUUCUUUUUAAAUUAAAUGCCUCAUAAAUUUGCAUGUCAUCCUCAUGCAGGGGCUAUGCCAAAUUUCUCUGUAUCAUUCCAAUUUUAGUACAUGUGCUGCUGAAGUGAGCAAAACAAUUUUAUACUUUUAUAUUUGUUUUUGGGGGAGAGGAUUGGUCCACCCUUUAGGCUACCCUAACUUGAAGUAUGAUCUCUGGUGUGUUUAUAGUUUUUUUUUAAAUGUUUAUACUUGGAAUUUUCAUUUUGUAUAUUCAGUUGCUUGAGAUAGGUAUCUAACUUUAUUUUUCUUCCUAAUGAAUAGGUAAUUUACCAAACAACUUCUGGCUGAUUGACUGCAUACCCAGCUUCAGUCUGUUUGUAUAUAUAAUUUUUGGAUGAAACUAAUGUUUGAGUGUGUCUGUGUAUGUUGGUGCAGCUGUGGAAGAAAACAAAUGGCAUGUGUGUCCUCAAAAUAAAAUGAAUCACCUCAAAAUAUUAAGAUAAGAUGGAAGCAUUUGUAUGCAAUGGAUGAGAUUAAUCUGUGAAGACAUCCCAGAAAUUACCAGUGUUUAGACUAUUAUUUGUGAUUGUAUCGUGUCUGACUUUGAGCCAUUUACGACUCUACAUACUUGUUUUUACAUCCCGUCUACAUCUUUUCCUGUAUCUAAUCUUAGUCCAACAUUUUGAUUUUAGCUUUUCUGCUAUUUUGAUACACUUGGCAACAACGUGGGACCCUUAUUUAAAAGUGCAAGUGCCCUUAUAAAAGAGAUCCCAGAAAGAUUCCUCACCCCCUUUACCAUGUGAAGACACAGAAAAAGACAGCCAUCUGUGACCAGAAAGCAGACCCUCACCAGAUACCAAAUCUGCCAGUACUUUGACUUUGCACUUCCAGUCUCUAGGACCAUAAGCAACUAAUUUCUGCCUGUUUAGGAGCCACCCAGUCUAUGGCAUUUUCUUAUAGCAGCUUGAGCAGACUAAAACAAUGACUUGUAUAUAAGAAAAAUCAAUGUUUGGCAAGUUAUUUUUGUGGCAAUGACCCCUCACUCAAGGAUAUUUUGCAGAUAAUUGCGGAAGGAUAUAGGAACUCACCUCUGUCUGCAACAGUUCUGAAAAAAAGUCUCUUAAACAUCGCAAUUCAAAAUGAUGACUUUUCUUAUUGAAGAUGGCUCUUCCUUUCUAGAGCAUCAAGAACUUUGCUUUAUUCCUGGCAGCAUGCACUGCUCAUGGCAGCAUGAGAAAAAGCAGAGUCUUGAGUAUGAAGUAGAAAAAAGAAAAGAAGUCAUGGCUCAGUUGGUAAGUCUGGGGCUUUUGGCAAAUUCAACAGGAAGAUGUGUCCUGAAAGAGAAAUGGGCUUCAUUUUAGGUAGGUAAGUAUAUCUCCAUAGUAAUUAGAGACAGAGUACAUAAAGCACAUCAUAUGACAUAGGACUCAAUAAAUGGUAGUUACCAAUAUUGUUAUAAUCGUUAUAAUCAUUAUCUGAUCAUUAUUUUGUGAUAUAGCUAAAAGGAAAAAAUUUGAGAAAACCACCCACCCCUAAAUGAAAUGUUAGGGUGGAAUCCCAACUCUGACAAGCCAAGGCCCAGAUAGAACCAUAAUGCAAAGCCCCCGUAUGUGGCAGUACUAUGCUGAGAGGUUGGCCCUGCCUGGAAGCGUCACCUACAUUGUCAGUGGCACCAUCACUGUAGUUAGCUACCUCAUGCUGGGGCGUUUUUCUAUGGCGUACAGUAGGCCUGCUGAGAGAGUCUUUGAUGCUAUUUAUUUGGGCUGAUAUGAGAUCUAUGGCUGCCUACAUGGGCAACAUUUCAGGGGUAGCACACAGGCUUUGAGAUCUGGAUCCAGCCCUACUCAUCUCCUAGCUGUGUGAGCUUAGCAAGUUGCUUUAUCCCUCAGAGAUACAUGUCUCUUAUCUAUAAAACAGGGAUAAUGAUACUUUGCAGGGUUUUUGUGAAAAUUGGAGAUAAUAUGUAGUAAGUAUUCAGUACACUACAAGUGCUACAUAAUGGUAUUAUUUAAACAGUUCAACAGCAUCUAUUAAUGACCCCUAUCUUGGAGGUUUUACUUGAGGAUUAAAAGAAAACAAUAUAUAAAGUACCUAGUACAUAAUAGGCCCUUAAUAAUUGGUAGACUUUUAUGUAAAUUUCAAGGAAUUCAGUUUUCAAAUGGACUUCUUUAAGUGUAAUCCUCAAUUUGUAUUUAAGAGGCUUGGGUCUUGGAUUUAGAGCUAAUUAACUGGGUACUCUUAAGCAAAUCACUCUGGGUCCUAGUUUCCUCACUCAAAAAUUACAUAUUUGCACAAAUGAGAAAUAAGAUGUCUUUUUUUAAUAAAUUGAAAAGGAAAGUUUUUUACACUUAGCAGAGAAGGAGCUUUGGAACACUAGGGAACAUUUGAGAAGGAGGCUUAACACUACUAAGUUAGGGUCAUUAAAUUUUCAAAAUGAAUGAAUUCAUUACAAAUAAGAGAGGAAGAAAAAUAGUUUAUGUGUAGCUGAGUUAAUUCACUCAGACAUAUUUGCUGUGCACCUGAGCCUUGGAGGGAAGUCUUGUUCUGUGCUCUUCCAAGAGGGAUUUUUGAUGAAGUCUUACAUGUUUUGCUUUCUUCUCACAUCAAAACAUUCCACAUACUUUGAAUUUAGAUGCAGCCCUUCCUCCUGGUAUUAAGUAAGCAGUGAAUACAUUGCCAUCAGCCUUCUUUCUAUCAAUAUGAGAGACCUACCUGCUGGGUUUUUUUUUUUUUAAUUUUAAUAACAAGAACACCUUUUUUUUUUUUUUUUUUUGCCAGCCAAAAGAUUCAGCUUACCUUGAAAGAACCUUUCCUCUUAAUUAAAAAGCUAUUAAUGACAUACUCUGCAAAACAUUUCUUUGAGUUAAAUAUUGGUGUUUGUGGGGGAGGGGUGUCGGGAGAGGUUGGUGAAUGAGAAAGCUCUGCUUUGGGGAUUUUGAUACAAAAACUAUUAAGGGAUUAUAUGGUUGCCUCAGCCAGUGCAUACAUUUGUCAUCAUCCAUUUAUUUGUUCUGGUAUGCUCAGUGCCUGGCACAUAGUACAGGAAGCUACUAAAAUGUUUGUCGAAUUAGUAAAUGAAUAUGAGAAAUGUCUUUUCAUCGUCUCCAAUAAGGAAAAUAGCAUAAAUAAACUUUAGUGUGUUUCUGGUAGAUCCCAUUGGAAUAGCAUUUACAUGGGCAAGGCACCUGGGCUUUGGGAAAUUGGGUUUAGGAGCAGUCGGGGAAGUGGGGAGACUAGCUUAGCACCUGAUGGGACCUCUUCCUUCAGACAGAGGAAGGGAUGGAGUAAUGUAAGGAGGUUAACAACCCAUUGCUGUGGGCUUAGCAUUCAGUCUGCAGCCCAAAUAAGACCUGUUGGCCUCCUCCAACUAUAGUUGGGAAUUGGGUGUGCCUGUGUGGGGAGGAUGGGUAGGAAUGGCUGAGCCUUGCCUGAGUUAUUGGAAAGAAACAAAGGUUGCCCAAACAAAAAUGCUGAGAAUAAAAAUGUGUUUAUAUGGUAUGAAGCAGGUGAAUGACCCUUACACUCACAUUUGGUACUUGAUGCCACUUUUCACGAAUGAUGACUUUUCAUAUUGAAGAUGCCCCUUCCUUUCUAGAGGACCAAGAACUUUGCUUUAUUCCUGGCAGCAUGAAAAAAACAGAGUCCUGAGUCUAAAGUAGAAAACAAGUAGACUAGAAGUCAUGGCUCAAUUGGUAAGCUGUGGAGCUUUUGGCAAAUUCUUUAACUCUCCAGGGCUCUGCUACAACAUCUGUAAGGUGAGGUGUUUGGACUAGCGGAUCUUUUUUAUUCAGCAACAUAAACUGUGCUGGGUGCCAGGCAGUGGGAUCUAGAGUUGAGUCACACACAGUCCUGAUUCACAUUCUGGCUGAUAAGAGCUGGAAUUAAAAAUACCAGUAGACACACAGGAAGGAAUGAUUCAUUCUGUUUGCUAGGGCUUGGGAGCUAAUAUUUGAAAAGUAGGAAUUCCCUAGAAAUUGAUUAAUUUUGUCAUCAUUCAUUCACUCAUUCAACAAAUGUUAACACUGUGGCAAUUGUAUACAAGGGUGCCUACUGUCUAUGAAGGAUGGGGGAAAUAGUCAUGAAGAAAGCAGACAAAAUCUUUACUUUCUUUCAGUUUAAUCUAAGCCAAAAGUGCUAGGGGAGGUUGGAAAAAGGUACUAUUAAUAUUUAGCAUUGAAUCAAUAUUAAUAUUGCUUCAUUUCACUCACCCAGUACAUCCACAAAGAAGGCAGUACCUUCAUUUUACAGUGAGAAACCUGAGGCCUAGAGGAGUGAAAUCAUUCACUGAGCUCAUACUAAGUCAUAAGGACUCAAGCCCACCUCUGCCUGUGUUCAGAGCUCCAGCAUUUACCUGUAUUACAAUUUUAUGGCAGAAGAGACUUCCUAGGCCACUGGGUGAGUGAAUACUUGUUUCACCUUUCCAACACUCCUUCUCUGAGUAACAGUGCACCUAUUGUCCUCUGGAGAGCUAAGCCCUCCUGCUCUCAAUUCUCGUUCCUCUUCCCACAGGUGUCAGAGGCAAGGUCAUGGGCCUAAUGUAUCAGACCACAUCCUUCUAGGCACAGUGAUUGGCCCACCCGGUGAUGGGCACAUGACCAAGCUGCACCAAUUGGCAUCAAUGCGUGGACUCUUGCUGGAAAUAUUGGAAAAGGGUCUUGUUUGUUUCCCCUGGGAUUGUUAAACUGUAGACCGUAAGCCUAGAGUAGUUGAUGGCCAUCUGAGAGAGACUGUAAGCCUACAGUAGCCUGAUGUUUUCCAGAAGGGAUGAGGGAGCCUGCCUGAAAAUGAAGCUAAUAGAGAAGUAUAUUAAUUCGUUCUCACAUUGCUAUAAAUAAAUACCUAAGACUGGAUAAUUUAUAAGAGAACAGAUUUAAUUGGCUCAUGGUUCUUCAGGCUGUAUAGGAAGCAUAGCACCAGCAUUAGCUUCUAGGGAGACCGCAGGAAACUUCCAAUCAUGGUGGAAGGUGAAAGGAGAGCAGGUGUGUCUCAUGGUCUGAGCGGGAGGAAGAACAGAGACUUGGGAGGGAGGUUUUGUUGUAGGACUUUUUCCUUAGUUCAGCUAAGAGCAGGGUUCUUGUCACAUGCCCAUGAGAGAUCAGGCUUGCAGACACUUUGAAAGGUGAGAAGAAAUGGAAUUUAUUAGGCAAAAGGGAAAAAAAGCAAGACAGGGACCCUCCAUAAAGCUGAAUCCUGCUAGUGUGCUUCCUGCCUCGCAGACUGAAUCCCAGGUUUCACCCAGGAAGAAGAGAGGCUGGGCUCCUCCCUGCUGAAAACAGCGCGAACUUCCCAAGGCUCCACCCCAGUGCAUACUCCUUCCAGUGUGCAGGCCACUUGGAGUUUCUCUUGGGACUCCUUUACACUUGGCUGUCUCAGUUUCACACACUUUUAAAUGACCAGAUCUCUCAAGAACUUGCUCAUUGUUGUGAGGACGGCACCAAGGGGAUGGUGCCAAACAAUUCACGAGAAAUUUGCCCCCAAGAUUUAAUGCCCUACCUCCAGCAUUGGGUAUUGCAAUUCAAUAUGAGAUCUGGGUGGUGACACACGUGCAAAUCAUAUCAAGAGGAAAGCAGAAUCAGAGCAACAAUUUCCAGAAAACAUUGGAUCUAAUUUUGCCUGAAAUGGGCACUUAUUCCUAUGCUUCCAGUUCUGUGAGCUAAUACAUUAUUCUUUUUCCUUUUAAGAUGUCUGGGUUAUUGUUACUUGAAACCAAGCAUGUGGAAGAAUAUAGCCUCCAAGAGAGUGCAGAGAAUGUUUAUUUCUCUUUCUCCCUGCAAAAGUCGGUACCCUCAAAAGUCUCUAUCAACUUUCCUUAAACUUUCCUUUGUCAAGGUAAACAGUGCAUGAUUUUUUGCUCUGCUGUGUCUCAGAACUCUGUCCCCAGGGUCAUAUUCUGUACACCUGGUGAUGCCAGACUUCACAUGCUCAAGUAUGGAUUGGGCAGCUUCCUGAUUGAAUGUUAACCAACAUCUCUCCCUCUGUCCUCUCCAGGGCCUCUGCUAUCCAGUUCUGGCUCCUUUUCUCAGGAUACAGUUUAUCUGAGGUCAUGCUGUGGCCCUAGACAAGCAUUGAGGAUGUCAUGUUCAGAGUCUGUGUGACCUGCUCAGCAGCAUAAAUGAAGGCUGAGGAUGACCGGUCCUCAUUUCCAGUAAUGUUUCUUCCAGACUCAGAUUCCCAGAAUCUCCCCUUUGGAUAGCCUGCCGGAUGUAGCCUCAUCUUUAUAAGCUCAGAGUCAAAGGAGCCCUUAACUAUCUUUUUAUUAGGAAUGAGAGAGGUUGUCGGAUGCUGCAUUUGACCUUACCUAGCCUCACCAUCUGUCUCACUGCUAACACUGGGACCCAGUCUGAUUGUUCUGUUUUUUUUCUUUAGAGUUCCCUCCUCCAGGGUUAUAAGAACUCAUUUAUUCAAGGGAAUGGGGUGACUCUUCUCUUCCUGUUCAUGUUUCCCAACUGCUCCCAGGCAAGCUAGCAUCUGAAUUGCUAGGUAUACCAUUGUUGUAUGCGAACAGGAGAUGUCCUCUUUCCCAUAACCAGAGCAAAAUGAUAGGUGUUUUCACUGCAUUGGGUCUUUAAGUUUUGCCCAAGAAACUAUCCACUUGGGUUUGGGCAAUGGAUAGUUGGGUUAUGGCCUAUGGAGUCUGAACCAGAUAAUUCUCUGAGGUGCAAGGAGUCCUGCCUGUAUUGACUAGCACAGCUUAUGCAGAGCCUCCUCCUUGACCUUGGAUGGUUUGGCAUCCUCCUCCUCACCAUCAGAAGGGAUCUUCCUCUUCAAGCCAAGUUUGGGGUUGAAGAUUGUAGCAAGUGCUUUAUGAUGGGACAUCUACAGUCAUGUGUUGGAGGCUCUUAAGUGUAUAGCUCUCAGUAAUAGAAUCAUCAGCCUCAAUAUGUAAGCAGAGACUUUUAAUCUACCUUCAGAAAGUAUUGGGUAUCUAAACUGCACAGCCUGGAGAACUGAGGCAUUUGUCCCCCAAAGACAAAGCACUGUUUGACUUGAGGACAUGAGUGAGUUACACAUAGGUCUCUAUGAUGUUCUCUCCAUCAGCCAUCUCUUUCCACCUUGAUCCCUGCCUGUGUGGUCCUUGAACCAGGGAUGAACUUUUCUUGUUGCUGCAUAAGCAUUCUCUGAGACCAAUCUCAGCUCUUGCUAAGAAAGAGCUUUGUGAAACGCCAUUGACAACAAAUCCAAUGCGUCUGAGGCCAUGAGUUUGAGCUCUAGCAGGGAUCCUUGCCAACAUUCGGUCUUGACCAACGCCUCUAAAAUAAGUUCACUCUAGAAGUCUGACAUCAUUUUAAAGAAUGAAGCCAUUUUUUUUUCCAGAAAUGCUGUGUAGAAGGUAGCUUGCAGAUCAAAUUCCAUAAUGCUUGGGAGGGAAGUCUGAACAGAAGAUCAGAUUAAAAGAGGGUCAGUGAGUCCUAGAAAGAAGGAAUCCAGCAUGAUAGGCCAUAUUCUUUAGUAGAGCUUGAUAAUCGUGAGGAAGGACACAACUUUUUCUCUGCCCUCUUAAUGUUGUGACUGAGAGAUAUGAACUAAGCUGACAAAAGACAGAUUAAUAAGGGAAAAAUCAUUUAAGUUUUAUUUGAUGUUAAUAUUUGCAUGUGGCACAGGAAGGGGGCCUUCAUAGAAAAAAAGUGAAAAACGCAAGGAAGUGGUGAGACUUGGGGGCUUAUGUACCAUUAUAACAAAAGGCAAUAAAUUGUGGGGAAGUGACUAGACAAAAGGGAUUUGGGCUUCUAAGGGUGGUAAUUGAGGGAAAGAAACUGGGAAAUAUAUGGGGGAGACUAAUGGACAAUAAGGGUUAUUUUUGUAAGGUUUAUUUGUGCAGACUCGUGUCAGAGUUGACUUCUCAUCUCCAGUGAUAAGAAUGCUUUCUUUUCCUAGUAUUAGAAAGACCAAUACCUCAUAGAGAAUUUAUACCCUGCUUUCAGGUAGAAAGGAGGAGGGCAGAGAUAUCUCUUCCUGCAUUUGCUGUUUCUUAAUUGCCUUUACCUGAAAAUGGCAUAUUUUGGGAUGGCAUGUUCUAAUCUUCAGUUCCAAGAAUAGCAUUCUGACACCUACCCUGAAACAAGCUAUGGGAAAAACCUUUCUGAGGCCUGAAAGUUCUGUUAUGCUGGAUCCCAGCACACCAUAAUAUUUAAGAUGUUGUGCAUCCUUCCUAAGUGAGUUAGAAAGGAUAUAAUAAUUAGGUAGAUUUUCCUUUCCAACAGGCACUAUUGAAACCCUCUGAGACUAGUGACAUAGCUCUGCCCCCUUGACUGGGACCCAAGCCCGUGUGGGUAGCAGCCUCUGUGCAGAGAGGAACAAGGCUGCAGAGUGGUACCUCCACAGCAACACAGACUCAGGGUGAGAGGUAGCCAAGAUUCCCUCUUGGCACACGUAAGACACAUCCACAUAUUCCCAGGAAUAUGUGGAGCAGAGGAAAAAAAAAUUGAGAAUAGAAAUUCUUGACUGGGCCAAUAGAUGCGUAGGCCUAGGGAGUUUCAGGCAUCAAUCAAUAUUCAUGUGAUCACAUUCGACUCACCCUGGAGAGGCUAAGGAGCAUCUGGUCUCGUGGUGGUUGGGGAGGAUGUCUUGUGAGGAAGCUGUUAAUUCUCUGCAAAGUGUGAAUUUGCACCAGUCUAAGAUGCAAAUUAUUUCUCUCCCUGCCUUUCUCCUUUGCAUCAUUCUCAGUGCCCCCUGGCACUGAAAGUAUGGUGGAAGGGAGUGGAAAAGAACUGUGCUGAGCUCACUUGCUCUUGGGGGCGGGCCUGCUUACAGUCAAGGUAGGGAAUUUCUACCAAGGCUCUAAGCCGUAGGCGAUAAUAGAGUUCUAGAGGUGUUUGGUAGCAGAGCAUUUAAGGAACCAGAAGGAAAAGGACCCUGCAGUAAAAGUCAGGGGUGCUCUAAUUUAUCUCUAAAAGCCGCAAAGCCUCCAUUACUAACUUCUCUACCAAGGCCUAAAAGACCUCUGUUAAAAUGCAAAUAGAUUUGCUAAGGACUUUCCCUGAAGCCGUUACAAACAAUUAAUGCCUUAGUUGCCCAUCCUUUUUAUUUUUUAAGGUAGGAAUACCCUAGGGAGAUAGGACUUAAGGCAGCUAAAUUUUGAUGGGAGAGGGUGAGAACCUGAUCUACACUUGGGUGGAGCUAGGCACAUAGACACAUCACAGGAGCUGGCAGUAGUGUGAGAGGCUAACUUUUGAGAAAGGAAAGAGAAUGGCUUUAUUUUUCUUUUCCUUUUUUUUUUUUUUUGAGAAACGUUCUUGCUCUUUUGCCCAGGUUGAAGUGUAGUGGCAUGAUCAUAGCUCAUUGCAUCAUCAAACUCCUGAGCUCAAAUAAUUCUCUUGCCUCCUGCCUCAGCCUCCCAAGUAGCUGGGACUAAGAGGAUAUACCACCAUGCAGGGCUAAUUAUUAUUAGGAUUUGUAGAGGCGAGGUCUUGCUGUGUUGCCCAGGCUGGUCUUGAACUCCUGUCCUCAAGUCACCUUCCCACCUUGGCAUCCCAAAGUGCUGGGAUUUACAGGCAUGGAGCCCUUACGCCUGCCUGAGACGUGGAAGAAAGGUGAAGCAAGAACUUCAGACCAAUUUGACCAGUUUUUAGUUUCACUUGGGGUUGACAUUGUCCAUAUUACUUAGCACCAGCCUUUCUCAAGGCGUGACUGACUCACUCAGAGUCCCAUUUUCCCUUUGGAAAUAGACAUUUUCAAGAGCAUUGCAAUUACAAGCCACACAUGACCAAGCUCUCUGUCCAAGAAAAGACCAUCCCUACAACCCCUGAUGCCAACACCUAUCCUUUGGCACCUUUAGAUUAAUGAGCUUUGUUUAGACAUUCUCAGAUGGGUUUUUGCCUCCCUAACUGCGUGAUUUUUUAGCUUUAAACAGCUGUUCCUUCAAAGGACCUUCACAUAGAGUCUCUGGCCUGCUAACCCAAUUGCAGCAAGGCAAUGUAUUGUAGGCAUACUUCACUUCAUAAACAAUUAAUAUGAGACAUGUUGGUCUUUCAGCCCGGAAUUAUUUUCAGACUCAAAUCUUAUAAAUUUUGACCCUCCUUUGAGUUUUCUGAGCCCCUAAGUGGUUUCCAUGCAGAUUCAUAGCACCUAACAGUGAUCGGUGACACUGCAGGGUGUAUUUGUGAAAGUCCUAUUUAGUCAUUGGGGUAAUUUUGAUUGUUUCUACAACUGGAAGAUUUCUGGAAGAAAAGUUCAGUGAGUUUCAGACAUUCCUAGCUGACAUCUUUUUUUCUGAUCUCAAGACAUCUAAAUUGAUCUUCCGAUUGCCUCUUAAUUUUACAGAGGCAUAUAAAGUGUUUCAUGCCUAAAGCUGGCAUAUUAAUUUUACAUCAAAUUUAUAAUAGGGUUAUUAUGUGCUAUAUAACAUUUUAGAGAACAGUGGAGUCCCGUGGAUGAUCAAUAUGUUAGGUUCGUUUCUGACAGUUUUAUAGGGAUAGAAGCAUAAUUUUGUGCUUUAAUAUUGUAGACAUUUACAUUUAGUUCGUUGUAUAUUGCUGGUCAUGUCUGUAAUUUACUUGAUGCCAGUUUCUUGGCCAGUGCUCUACCUCAGUCCCUUUCCUCCAGAUCAGACUCUCCUGAAUCUGGAUGCAUCUUGCUUUCUAGUGUUAAGGUGAAAUUAAUUAGGGGUUUCCUAAAUAAUCAGUCCAAAUUGAAAUUCCUUGAAAUAUGUGAGUAUGAGUACAUUUUAGACAAUGGAACCCAAGAAGCCAAGGGUUUUGCAGCCCUCUCAGUGUUAUAGAGCAUGAACAGAUUCUUAAAAUGCAUCUCAACCCCCAGCCUUGGAAAUUCAUCUCUGUGCCCAGAGGUGCACCACAGGGAGAAGGCUGUGGCUCAUCCCGACUGCCACUUUUGGGUUGGCACAGGCCUCCACGUCUGCCACCUUACUGUCCCUGGGCUGCUUCUGUCCUUUGGCUUGGCUUUACCUAUUCUUAUUUAAAACAGCUGGUGGGUGUAUGCUUGCAAGAAGGAGCAAACCAGCAGGCUUGUCUGAAACCUUAAAAUUAAAAUAAAUCCAUUCCCGAAUGUAGGCUGUUUUCUGUUUUGCUUCUGCCUUAUUUUCUCAUCAUAUGACAUCAACAGGGAUCCAUUUUUAUAAGAUGGGAGCAGUAAGAAUCCUUUGUUCAUCCCUGAAUCAGGUUGAGUCUUGAAGUUCCCUGGAAAUAUUGAUGCCAUCCCUGAAUAUGUUAGCCCUGGGAUUUCAUGGCAGCCGGUAGCAGAUAUGAAAUGGUGGAAGCUCUCUGGAGAUGAAAUUAGGGAUUGAUGUGUAGCAGUGCAGAAGAGUGCCAAAAUAGGCCCUUCUUUUCCUUGAAGAUUGGUUUGACACAAGGUGAUUUUUAUGGUGCCAGAAACCACAUGCUAGGCUGUAAUUGAGCAUAAUUAUUACUCUGCAUGCUGCAAAGUGCUGGACUUGAGGCAUCCUACAGAAUCCCAUUAAUUUCUUGAUUGGACUCUGAAAAACGGUGCCCCCCACAGGGCCAGAGAGAGCUGUGCUUAGUCUGUCUGGUCUUCAAAUGAAGAAGUCACUGGCUGUCCAGUUGGCUGAUGUUUCACCCUAACUCUGGGGCCUCCAUCUGUAAUCCAGGACUCCACUGUCAACACACUUGCUUAGAAUUCUGCUAUGGUAUCAUCUCAGCCUCGCAAUGUUUCCACAUAGGAAAACUGAAAUGGACAAUGGAAGAAUUCAUAUGAAUAAUUCAAACACACACCUAAAAUAUGCCCAGAAUACAAAAUAAGCCAUUUGUAAUUAUCUGGUUAUUUUAAGUGAGAGGUUUGAAAAAAGGCUAAAUUAUUUGGGUAAUUGCCUUUUCCUUUUGAUCUGACACAUAUAAUGACCCAAACUUCAGCUAUGCUACCUAGAAGCUCUCAGGAAUGUAGGAUUCUGCCUCUUCCCCCUGGCAUUAUGUAGUAGACUAUGUGGGAAUGUGUCUGCCCACUCCUAAAUAUCCUCCAAGCUUAGGUAUAUUUUCUAAAGACAACUUAAGUGUGCUAAAAUGGUUUCAAUUGUUCAUUGUUAAAAUAUCUUUCGAAAAUGUUUGUGUCUUGUGUCCUGCCUUCAUAAAUACAAUCUGUGCAGCAGAAAUUAAUUUUUGCUGAUUAAAUUUGUCCAGCCUUUCCAGUGUCUUUGUCUUGAUCAUUAAAUCUCACUGUUCAGUGUGUCAUUGUGAAAAGAAGUCAAAACUGGGAUGAAUGCUCACUGACCCCAGUACUGUUUUUGGAAGAGGCACAUUUUAAACGAUCAAGGCUAGAUACUAGAUUUUGUUUUCUCUUGACUUCUCUUUUCUCUUAAUAGAAACAAUGCCAAGUAUCCAGUUAACCAAAGGUUUCUAUUAUGUGCAUUCAGUGAAUUUAAAUGCUGCUGAAUUUUAGGUGGUCUGGAAAAGUCAAAUGGCUGUCGUGACUCCAGUGUCUUCUACAGCAGGAAAUUUCCUAUGACUUUCUCAGGAAGCCUCACUUCUUACUACCUCUGGUGGAGGUUAGGGAAGAAUUUCUUCUUGCCAUCUUGCAAAGAUGGCAACCAUGUCUGCCAUGCUAUGGAUUCAAUAGGCUAUCAAAUCAUUUUUAUGGAAAACAUAUUUGGAGUUCCAGCUCUGAAUUUGGAAAACUGGGAACCCAUCUCUGUCCCAGCUUCUCGAUGUGGAUAGCAAGAAAAGGUUCCAGUGUUUUCCCCAUCACCCAUGCCCUACCUUCACCCCCCACCUUGCAUAUUGCAGAACUGUACGUAUAGUGGUUGAUCAUGUCAUGAAGGAGGCUGCUAGUCUCUAUUUAGUGUCCAAGUCCUCUUCCUCUGUGAGUAAGUAUACAUGCUAGAAAUCUUUUCUUCUAUCAUAUUAUUGGUGUUUAACACUAUUUGUGGUGACAUUUAUUUAGAGAUGGAAUCUCACUCUGUAACCCAGGCUGGAGUGCAGUGGUGAGAGCUCGGCUUGCUGCAACCUCUGCCUCCCAGGUUCAAGCAAUUGUCCUGCCUCUGCCUCCCAAGUAUCUGAGACUACAGGUGUUGGCCAACACACCCAGCUGAUUUUUUUUUUUUUUUGUAUUUUUAGUAGAGACAGGGUUUCACCAUGUUGGCCAGGAUGGUCUUGAUCUCUUGACCUUGUGAUCGACCCACCUCAGCCUCCCAAAGUGCUGGGAUUAUAGGUGUGAGCCACUGUGUCUGGCACUGACUUUUAUUAUAUAGCAGUUUAAAAAUAUUAUGAAGGGCCAGGUGCGGUGGCUCACACCUGUAAUCCCAGCACUUUGGGAGGCUGAAGUGGGUGGAUCAUGAGGUCAAGAGAUCGAGACCAUCCUGGUCAACUUAAUGAAACCUCGUCUCUACCAAAAAUACAAAAAAUUAGCUGGGCAUGGUGGCACGUGACUGUAAUCCCAGCUACUCAGGAGGCUGAGGCAGGAGAAUUGCCUGAACCCAGGAGGUGGAGAUUGCGGUGAGCCAAGAUUGCGCCAUUGCACUCCAGCCUGGGUAACAAGAGCAAAACUCCGUCUCAAAAAAAUAUAUAUAUUUUAAAAAAGGGAUAAAAAUUGUUUCUGUCUGUAUUUGUUUUCUAUUGCUAUUUCUAUUUUAUAACCAAUUGCCAGCACAAGCUCAGCGGAUUAAAACAACAUACAUAUAGUACUCACAGUUACCCUGGACCAGGAGUCUGAGCACAGCUCAGAUCUUCUGUACGGUGUCUUACAGGGCUCCAAUCCAGGCGUUAGCUGGGGCUAGGGUCUCAUCUGAGGCUUGAGAUCCUCUUCCAAGCUCCCAUGGCAGAAUUCAUUUCCUAGAAGCUGUGAAACUCAUGGUGUUUGCUUCUUCAAGGCCAGUAGGAGUGUCUUUGAGGCUCUGAGUCUCUCUCACCUCUAGAUCCUCUUCUAAGGAGUCACCUGAUUAGGUCAGAUCUCCCAGGGUAAUUUUCCUUUUGAUGUCUGAAAUGCGAUGAUUAGUGACCUUAAUUACAUCUGUAAAAAUCCUUUCAUAUUUUCCAUUUAAUAUAACAUCAUCAUAGCAAUGACAAUCAUAUUCGCAGGUCACAGUCAUACUCAAGGAGAGGAGAUAAUAUGGGUCUUAUACACCAGGUGUUGGGGAUUUGGGGUUCAUCUUAGAAUUCUGCUACCACACUGCUUUUUAAAUAGUACUGUUUUAAAAAUUGCUUUAUUUUCUAAGAAGGCUUAGAAUUUUAAUAAAUAUAUAUGAUGUCAAGUAGGUACAAGAACUUCUAUUAUAACAUGAUAAAGUUUUUCUGAAAACCUUCAUAUUCUACAAAAGCACACACUAAAAAUCACAGGGUUAUGGGAAAAUCAAAGUUAAGGAAAGACCACUCAAAACCUAAGCUACUUUGUAACCAGAGCACUAAAAAGACAAUAAGAAUCCUAAUAAAGCUACUAGCACAGUUUAAAAUACCGUUUAAAUGCUCAAUAAAUAAUGAUAUAUUGUGGCGUAUAUAGAAUUCUACCUAACAGAGAAAAAACUGAGCAUAGCUUAAUGGUUGAAGAGUUAAAAAAAAAAAAUGGAGACUGCUAAGUACAGGAAUAAUGGAAAAUGUGCAAAGAUUGGAGAAGCCUCACCAUGGGUAUGUUACCAAACUAAGCCCAGAGAAAAAUAUACAGUGAAGUAGCACUGAAUAUAGAAUUGCGUCCCUUUGCAGAUUGUACAUUCAGCUGUUUUAGCAUAUGUUGUGGUCAGCUGCUGUUCACGUUGCAAAAACUUUAAUUUCUUGGAAACCCUUGAAUACGAACAUGACUUCACAUUAUAUUGACCUGAUUCCUUUAUUUAUCAAUAGUGUAUGAGCUAAUUUGUAUUACAGAAACUCAUGUUGUAACUAAAGAUACUGCCGUAAUUAAAAUUUGUCUUCCAUUAUUAUAUAACACUAUUUAUUGAAUAGUCUAUCAUUUCUCCUCCAGUUGUUUUUUUGGGGGGGCUGGGUGGGUGGAGUCUCACUCUGUCACCCAGGUUGGAGUGCAGUGGUGAGAUCUUGGCUUACUGCAACCCCUGCCUCUCAGGUUCAAGUGAUUCUUCUGCCUCCGCCCUACCAGUAGCUGAGAUUACAGGUGCCCACUACCACGCCUGGCUAAUUUUUGUAUUUUUAGUAGAGACAGGGUUUCACCAUGUUAGCCACUGUGGUCUAGAACACCUGACCUCAGGUGAUCCACCCACCUCGACCUCCCAAAGUGUUGGUAUUACAGGCAUGAGCCAUCACGCCUGGCCCAGUCAAAUAGUUUUACAAGACUUGUUACAAAUGAUAGCAGUCCUGUGUAUCCACCACCAUUUUCCUGCUCCCUGGGCAACCAUUUCAAUAAUUUUACUUGAUUCUUUUGGUAUGUAUCCUCAUAUUUCUACAUGCUUAUAUUGCUGUUUCUUUUUCUUCUUCUUCCAGUUUGAGCCGUUAUCUAUUGACUUGCGGUUAGAGAAGAUGAAGAUUUAGCUCAUGUUCACUCCUCUGCCUGGUAUCUAAAACACUACCUCCUCACCACUCAUUCUGCCAUCCUCCCAAUAGAACUCUAUUGUAGUUUUGUUUGGUAUGGCUUUUUGUAGUAUUGACUUUGGUAUGACUGUAUAAAUGCAAAUCAUAACCAGCUGGGGAAGUUGCCAGUGGUUAUUUUUUCUUUCUUGCCCAACAUCUUGUAUUACCUAGAGUCAUUAUUAUAAAUAACAACUUUUUUUUUUGUUUUUUUCCAUGUACAUAGGAAUACAGUCCUAAACUUUCCUCCAGGUAGGUAAAUCUCUGGUUUAUUUUUUUGUUUUACAUUUCAUGUGUUUAAAGUUUGCUUUGUCCAUUAAAGAAGAGGCUGUAGAUUAAAAUUAGCAAAUGAUGAUGUCAUUCUUUUCACAUCAAAUUCUUUUGAAUGACUAGGUGAUAUUUUGUAUGGUCCAUGUGUGCUUAUUUAAUUACAGUCACGUUUUCCAACACAAAUUUGAAGUGACUUGCUAUUUAAUUAUUACAAGCUUACAGUUUAGAAGGAUUUAUCCAAUGUGAAAAUCACAAAGAAAUUACUACAGUAUUGAUUUUCAGUAGCUUUGAAACAAACAAAAAAAAGAAAUGACUGCAGUAGAAGCUACAGUAGAUUGUAGUAUUCCCGGGACACUGAGAAGCUGGUAUCGCCCUCCCAUUUCCCAAUUUCCUAUUUUGUUCUCAUUUUGUAAACCCAUUUCAAAGAUCCACUGGUUGCAGAAAGGGGAGAAAUGUUUGUCCAAGGUCACAAGGUAGAUGGAAGCAUGAAAUGAUGAACAGUAAACUCUGGCUAAUCUGCCAGAUCUAUCUGGGAGCCUGUUUUUGUACUGCCAGAGCAGUAAGAAGGGUUUUCAUAUUUUUAAAAGAUUGCAUAAAACAAAACAAAAGCAAAACCCUCCAUAUAAAGACAUAGGCCAUAUGUGGUCACAAAGCCUGAAAUAUUUACUAUUACUUGACCCUUUACAAAAAAAGUUUGUAGACUCCUACUUAAGAGCUCAAGAUCUAGAAUCAGACAGACCUGGGUUUGGAACCUAGUGAGACCUGAGUAAAUUACUAAUGUCUUUGAGACUCAGUUUCCUCAUCUGUAAAAUGGGAUUGAUGUGAGGAUUGAAUGAAGUUGGGUUGCAGAGUCCUCCUCACAGAGCCUGCUAAGUGCUCAACAUAGAAGCUUAUCUAAUUUUAUUGUUUGUAUUGGAGCAAAGUCUCCUGAUACUUUCUAGAUCAGGCUACUCCCAUCCCUGGCUGGAUCCCCAGAGGUGUCAUCAUCUCUGUGUAUUGAUGGUGCUAUGGCCUUUCUCCUCACCCUGCUCGCAGCUGUAAUCAGGCAAUCACUUUGGCCCUAGCACCUAAUCAAAUGAUUUUGCUAUUUCACAUUCAAACACGUGCUUUUCAGAUUAUUCUGUGAGACCCAUAUAUUUUCAUUAAGAGUUGAUAAUAAGCUCUAACACUGAGAGCUUUUCCAAGUUCACGAUUGAUGAAAAUGUGAUAGGGAGCUGAGUGGCUCCAGUUGCCAGCUCAGGCGCGAAUCUGCUUGGGGCAAUUGCAGAGCCUCCCAGCAGCACAUUCCCAAACCUUCAGCUUCACUGCCUGCCCAGAGCCAUCUGGAGAGGCCCCCUCCUCCAGGCAUGAUUUGCAGACUAAACAGACUGAGCAUGUGGCAACUUUCUAUUUCCUUCUUAUAGUGCUGCUCUGGAGGCAGAGUAUCCUGGCAGAAGGCAAGUUGCUACCAUAAUCCAGAAGGCUUGGAAAUGUGGUCUUUGUUUUUAUGCAGGUCAGUGGUAGCGAAAGAUGAAAUCUGUGAAUUCUUUCUUCCUUGCUUUUUUUUUUUUUUUUGGUUUCUUUGUCAAACACUCUGAAAAUUUGCCAACACUCUGAAAUCUGAGUUUCUUGAAUUCUUGAAGGCAAGGUAGAGAGAGUCCUUUUCAAAUCUGUUCCAAGAGCUGAGAGAAGCCAGAGGACCCAGGACCCCCACUGCUGGACAACUAGAUGUUUUGGGGAUGGGUGGCUAUUGCCCUGUCCUGGAAGCACUGCGGCUUUAGCAGAAGGAGGAUGCGCCCACACCUGUGUACUCCAGCUGCAGGCUAGCCUCUGUAGUAAGUCAACGCCUGGUACUAGGUCCUGAACUGUUUGGAAGGGUGCUCCUCCCUUCUGCCAAAGUAGGAAAGACCUGGGAGGUUGCAGGGAGCUCUGCCCACUUGCUACUGGGAAACAGCCGCUUGGACAGAAAGUCAGAGGCAAACAGGAAUGGGUGUUGCAAAGAAUGUCAAUGGCCACACACAUAUUGGGAGGGAGCCCAGCACUAAGUACUAGGAUGAAGAUGGCAAGUGCCGUUUUUUUGCCUUUCAGCUCAGUAUCGCAGUACCAGCUCAGAGAAGCUUUGGGAGGUGAAGAGCUUAGUGAUCCCCAGCCAAGGAGAUGAGAGAGAGUCUAAGUGUGGGUGUCAUAAAGUUCUGGUUUAAGAGGGAAUUGUUUUAUUGGGCGAAGAGUGCUUGUUCCUUCCAUUAUGCCCCCUAGUGGGGCCUAUGGACUGUGCAAACAGUCUGGGGACCCUCCCACCUCCGGGAAUGGGACUCUUUGUGUCAACUUCACCUCCAUCUGUGAGGCCAACCCAGAUGAACUGAGGGAAUGUAUGUUUGGCCUUGAUUUUUGCUAACUGAUAAAUUCUGUUCACAGACAACCCAGAGGUGUUUAUAUGGAGUUUGGAGUGAUUGGAAUUUGUGUCUGUUUUUCUUAAUUCUAAAACUCACCUUAUUUUUCAGAAAGAUUUUUCAAUGCAUAUUUUUUUCUUCUUAUUAGAAAUUCAUUCAUAUGUGUGUCAAGUCAAACAUCCCUAAGGUGCCAAAACAGUUAACAGUCUGUCUUUGCCUUUGCUUUCCGCAGAUUAGAGGAGAAGGGAGAGGAUUUGCUUUUUUUGGUCUUCCUAGCAAAACCUUGGCUCUGCCUUGAGGAAGUCAGUGAACAGAAUGAAAAUGGGAGAGCCUUUUAUUGUUCCAUCCAGAAAGAAGAUCAAGGAUAACGGAUACAGGGUGAGACCAUGAAGCACUGGCAAAGAAGGCAGCAAAACCUGGAAGCUGCUGUUGCCUGUCAAAGAGGGCCACCAUCUUGCUUUGGGAUAUAAACAUUUCCUUCUCUCAACAGUUCUAAGACCCUAAACUUGACCCCACUUUGUGUUUAGCUUACCCAUCUCUGGGCUAUCCUGGCUUACCUUUUCCCUUCUCAAGUCCCUUCUACUGAGGGGCUGAGGGCUGAUGCUAAAGCGAAAGGGGAAGAGUUAUAGAGCAAAUGUCCUUAACUUUUCAAUUAAACAACCCUUUCCCAUUCUCAUAUCCUUCCAUCCCCUCUCUCAUGCAAAUCCCAUCUCUUCCAUAGCCUAGUGGAAGUUUAAUGUGUUUUCUCUUGCCUAUAUACUCUUGUUUUUGUUUUUUAAGGUUUCUUCCAUCAAAAGGAGAGGCUUUCUCACUUAGCCUAAAAUGUGAAUAGUUGAUAGCUCUGCCCCAGAAGUCUUGAACAGAAAGACAGAUGUUUAGAAAUUAAUCUCGCCUUCCCCCAGUGUUGACAUUUCUAGAGCUGCUCCUGUUUUAGGCAGCAGUGAUAUUGGAAUUAAUUGAGAGAGUUGCAAAGGGGAAUAUUUACUGGACUCCUUUGCACUAAACUAGUCUUAUCAUUUACUUCUGUGAGAUGUAAGGACAUGUUUGUCUUUUUGAUGCAGAAUUAAAUUGCUUUUUUUUUUGAGACAGGGUCUCCCUCUGUGAUGGCUAAUGUUGAGUGUCAACUUGAUUGAAGGAUGUGAAGUAUUGUUCCUGGGGUUGUCAGUAAGGGUUUUGCCAAAGGAGAUUAACGUUAGAGUCAGUGGACUGGGAGAGACAGACCCACCCUCAGCCUGGAGGCACCAUCUAAUCAGCUGCCAGUGUGCUAGGAUAAAGCAGGCAGAAGGUGGAAGGGAUGAACUUGCUGAGUCUUCCGGCCUUCCUCUGUCUCCCAUGCUGGAUUCUUCCUGCCCUCGAAUCUGAGCCCAAGUUCUUCAGCUUUUGGACUCCUGGACUUACACCAGUGGUUUGCCAGGGGCUCUCAAGCCUUCAUCCACAGACUGAAGGCUGCACUGUGGCUUCCCUACUUUUGAGGUUUUGGGACUUGGACUGAUCCACCACUUGCUUCCUCGCUCCUCAACUCACAGACAGCCUAUAGUGGGACUUUACCUUGUGAUCAUGCUAGGUCCCCUUGGCUACAAAAAUGUCCUUGCCUGCAACUUGUAGGAGGCAUUGUUGACACUAUGAAGUCUGACAGCCUCUCCUAAUCACCAGCUAUACCGUGAGUCCGGCGUGGUUCAGAGGAGAGCUUGUUGAUGGCUACUGCUGGUUUGUACCUCAUGUUUUCCUUGUUUUUCAACACCUCUCAUUUCUUUCCAUGGUAACCACUAGCUCAUGGUGAACAGCUUUAGUGGAGCCACAGCAUUUACUGUCAACCAUUAAGAUAGUAAAACCUUGAGGAGUCCAACCAUCCCAGUUUCUUGGCACUGGUAGAUUCUUUAAAUGCUUCCAAAUUCCCAUAUCCAUAUGUCAAAACAUGGAUUUUUAUAUAAUACCUCAUGUUUGGUUACAAGAAAGGCAAACUUUUAUGCCUCCUCAAUAAUUUAUCCUCAGAUCCUUGUUUGAGAAACACUAACUUUAAAAAAUAACAUCUUAUUCUGUGGAAAUAUUUGAAUUGCUGAGAGAGAUUUUUUUCUUUUCCUUUUUUUUUUUGAGAUGGAGUCUUGCUCUGUCACCCAGGCUGGAGUACAGUGAAGCAAUCUCGGCCCACUGCAACCUCUGCCUCCUGGGUUCAAGCAGUUCUCCUGCCUCAGCCUCGUGAGUAGCUAGGAUUACAGUCACCCACCAACAUGUCUGGCUAAUUUCGGCCAGGCUGGUCUCUAACUCCUGACCUCAAGUGAUCCACCCACCUCGGCCUCCCAAAUUGCUGAGAUUACAGGCAUGAGCCACUUAUUAUAAUUAGUAAAGAACUGAAAUGUUAAGAUUAUCUCUGAAAUGAAAACACAAAGUAGUUCUCUAUUAGGAGGGCUGAUAGAGAUAGCGAUACACACUAUCACUAAGAGAAAAUACAUAUGGUGGUGAAGAGAAUUCCAAAGCAUUUGCUGGGAAAAACAAAAGAAACUGAGGCAGGCAAUUAUGGGAUGAAAGGGAUAGUUAAAGAUUCAGCAUGGACUCAAACUAGGCAUCCUUUUUGAGAACUCAAACACAAAGCAAGAAGCUGAACUGAGAGCUUUCUCUCAUCAGCACCAUUCACUCCAACUUUGCAUUAAUACUAGAUUUCUGUACAAUGGAUUUUAAGCCUCUAUGACACAUAAAUUUAUUAUUUAUGUAUAUUUUUUAUCUCUUCAACUAGACAGAAUUUUCAAGGGCAAGUUUCUCUAUUUUGUUCAAACCAAACAAGGCUCUUCCUUUUAUUUCAUGUAGGUGACAAAUUGAGGUUAUAGAUCUUAAAGUGACAUCAACAUCUCAUAUGGUCCGAGAGUCUUUUCAGAUUAUAUGUUUUCAGAUAGCAUUUGAGGCACAAAGAUGGAGAGAUAGAGAAAUGAGACAUAUUUAAAGGAUUUGGCAGAAGGAAUGAAUUAGUGCUGGAGUCUGCUUUGGAUCAUAUCUAGGAACAAGGAAGGAUGUAUUUACUUGUAGAGAAGUAGCAGUAUAAGCAUUGCGCUUCACAGGCAGCAUUUUUUCCUCUAAAUUAGUUAAAAGACUAAAGCUUCCUUAAAGUCAGACAACACAGAGGAUGGUCAACAGGAAAGCCAUCAUUUCCUUUCUUCUUGGUCAGUGGGAUGAAGUAUUUGUUGGGCAUGUGGUACAUCAGGAACCUCGGCCCAUCGUGCAGUCUGGCUUCUGCAUAUGACCUGAGGAGCCUCCAAAACAACUCUUGCCAACGUUCCAGUAAGCUCCUAGAGGCAGGAUUCUAGGGACACGUUUAAGGCCUUCACCCAGGAGUUGGCAGCCUUCUGUAAUGGGCCAGAUAGUGAAUAUCCUAGGCUUGUGGCCAUCUGGUCUCUGUCACAACUCCUCGGUUGCUGUGGUAGCUUGAAAGCAACCACAGAGGGUAUAUAAAUGAAGAAGCAUGGCUGUGUUCCCAUAAGACAGCAUGCAUAGAUGCUCAAAUGCAAAUUUCAUAUGCAUUUCAAGUUAGGAAAUAUUCUCCUUCUCUUUAUUUUUUUCAGUCACUUAAAAAUGUAAAGACCAUUCUUAGCUGUGAGCCAUACAAAAACAUGUGGCAUGUGGCAGGCUGGACUUGAUCAGCAGGCCAUAGUUAACUGAUCCUGAUUGAUUGAUUGAUGAUUGAUUGAUUUGAGAGAGAGUCUCUCUCUGUCGCUCAGGCUGGAGUGCAGUGGCACGAUCUUGGCUUACUGCAACCUCCACCUCCAGGUUCAAGUGAUUCUCCUGCCUAAGCCUCCUGAGUAGCUGGGAUUACAGAUGUGUAUAACCGAACCCGGCUAAUUUUUGUAUUUUUAGUAGAGACUGGGUUUUGCUAUGUUGGCCAGGCUGAUCUCGAACUCCUGGGCUCAAGUGAUCUGUCCCCCUCAGCCUACCAAUGUGUUGGGAUUAUAGGCAUGAGCCACCAUGCCUGGCACCUGAUCCCUGAUUUAGAAAACCCCCUCGCUGGUGGUAAUGUGCAGCCAUUGUUGAGAAUCCCUAGGCUAGACUUGGAGUUUCUCGAGCCAUAGGCCUAAGUUAUCUUUGCAUCCCCACAUGGUAGGUGGAUGCUUGAUCAAGGUUGAAUGGAUUAAUCUUUAUGGGUCCCCUGCAUGCCCUUGCCACAGUGAUGUUAUUGACAUGGUUAAUCAUCCAAGAUUACUAGGGAGCAGGGCAGGUUAUGAUUGGUAAAGAGGGAGGGACCAAGUGGCAGCAGGCACUGGAAGGCUCACUGGAGGGAGAGGUGUGGGAGAGGCUGUGGCGGCCACAGGGGACUCCACUCAGACCUCGCUCCAAGGGAACCUGCUGUGAGGAGGUAGCUGGUGGACAAUCAUUAGCUGCUGCACCUUUGGAUCCAUCAGGGUUCUCACAGAGGCCGUGCUUUCCCGGGCUGUUUCCAGCCAAUACUAAGCAUGGCAGAAGUCUAGAGCUGGGCCUUUCUGCUCAUUGCAAGACCUUCUGCUGGGCCAUCUCUAUACUGGGGCUCUGUACCAGCCUGGCUGAAUCUUUCUCAGAGCUGCUCUGCAGUGUGAGGCUCCUUCCCCCGUUUCUUUCUUUCCUCUCUCGGUUCACAGCUGUCAGACCGGCAUCGUGGUCUGGAGCCAUUCACUAGGUACACCGGCUCCCUCUCCUCUUUAUCCUUCACAGGGAUUUCUUUCAGCAAAUCUCUUCUUGGAGGACUUGAACUGACACAGGAGCACUCAGGGGGAGACUGGAGAAGUAGAUAGAUCUCACUUUGUUUCUUGUUUGGGAUUUCUUUUUUUAAAAAUUCCUUUUUCUAUUUUUUCCUUAUUUCUCAGAAGAUAGAAUGAACAGGGUUAGCAAUGGCUCUUCUGAUUUUAAUGGUAUAUUUAUUUAUUUAUUAUUAUUGUUUUGAGACAAGCUCUCACUCUGUUGCCCAGGGUGGAGUGCAAUGGCAGGAUCACAGCUCACUGCAUCCUUGCACUCACUGGCACAAGAAGCCUCCCACCUCAGCCUCUCAAGUAGCUGGGACUACAGGCAAAUGUCACAAUACCUGGCUAAUUUUUUUUUUUUUUUUUUUUGUAGAGACCGGGUCUUACUACAUUGCCCAGACUGGUCUCAAACUCCUAGGCUCAAGCAGUUCUUAUCCGUUGGCCUCCCAAAAUGCUGGGAUUAUAGGCAUGAGCCACUGUGCCCAGCUUACUCUGAUUUUAAUGGAAUUGAUGAAAGAAUUGCAGUCCAGUGUGAAAUUUCUUCUGAGCUCACAGGUAUUCUCGACUUGAGACUGGUGAUUCCUUAGGGAAAUUUUACAUUGUGCUCGUAGCUUCAAGUAAAAAUGAAUCCUUCUUCUUCUUGUUUGUACUAAUGGUUGUGCAGUUGCCAUAUUACUGAGACAUUUGAGAGGCCUUCAGGUGAGAGGCCUGGGAGCUACACUGGGUUUGACCAUCUGAAGACUGACUCCAGCCUGGGUUGGUGACCAAGGGGUGAGAAACAGGAUGAGCUGGGCUGCAUGGAAUGCCCCCAGCUUUUGUCUAUCUUCAUUGUCAUUUUGUAGAAUCUAUUUGAGAAUAGACAUUAAAGUUCAUCCCUGGGGAAGAAACCAGAAAAAAGCAUCAGGGCUCCCUGCCAAUGCCUGAGGUCUGCUGCUACCCUGCCAUCUUCAGAAAGGAUGAAGGGGGAACUACAGGUCUGAGAGAUGACAGAGGCCACUGCUCAGUUCCUACCCUUUCCAGGCUUGUUUACCUGGAUGCAGGGUCAUCGGCUGUUUCCAGCUUCUGCAGGGGGUGAGGGCUUCUAGCGUGGUUCUUAUUGAGUCAGACUUUGGGCUGGGUGGAGUUUGCAGAUUCCACAUUAAGGGACUCUUUAAGCUGGCUGGUGGUGACAGAAGCUGGCAGAAUCUGGCAUGCAGCUGCUGCGACUGAUGAGCCAGAGGUGGCUUGGGGGUACUAGCAGCUCCCAGCUUAUGUGAUGCACAUCUGUAGAAACCCCUGGAGACAAGAGCCUCUUCUCUGACAGUUUCAGGCCAAAUCCUUGGAAGGGUAUUGAUUAACUAGACCUUAAUCAUGUGCCCACAUUUGAUCAAAGGAGGCCCAUGUGGAAGGGGCUCUGUGCAAAAAAAGAGGGGGUGAUGUUUUCAGAAGAAGAUGAGCUAGGCUGCAUGGAGUGUCCCUUCCCCCACCUCAGUGGACACAAUAGCUACCACUCUCCUCUGCAUGUGGUCAGAGGCCAGGCAUUUGGAUGAGAGCCAAAAGCACACCAAUAUGAAAAGUAGUAGCCCAAAGUUCAGGGAAAUAGCCAGGAAUUAGACCUGUGGGAGCAGGGCUGAAGAAGGAUGGCUAAUAUAAAAGUAAUAACAGUGAGCACUUGCUGAAUGCUGUAUCAGCUGGGAUGCUUUCACCUACAAAUAAGGAAAAAUCUUACUCAACAAGUUUAAACAAUAAAAAGGCUGAAGGCAGAAGGCUCUGGGCUGCUUAAGACAGCCACUCAAUGGUCUUCAAGAACCUGGGUCUCUCCACCCUCCCACUUUCUCAUCAUUUUUAUCUUCCUCUCUAGGUGAGGCUCCGUCACAGUCCCACAAUAGUGAAGUAUCUAAGUGUCACCACCUUGUGUAAUGAAAUACAAGUGCUUCCCUUCCUUAAGUAACCCUCCCCAUAAUCUUUUUCUAAUGAAGGUACAAUAUGCAUAACAUAACAUUUACCCUCUUAAGCCUUUUUAAAUGUACAGUAGCAGAAUGAAAUACAUUGACAUUGUUGUGCAGUCAUCACCGCCAUCAUUUGUGAAUGCUGUGAAUUUUUGAGACACACAAACAUUCAAGCCAUAGCCCACCCUCUCUCCCACAGACACUGGCAUGUACCCUUCAACUUUCUGCCUCUAUAAAUUUGACCACUCCAGGUGCUUCAUAUAAGUGGAAUAAUACAAUGUUUGUUCUUUUGUGACUGGCUUAUUUCACGUAGCAUAAUGUCCUCAAGGUUCAUUCACGUUGUAGCACAUGUCAGAAUUUCCUUCCUUUUGAAGUUGACUAAUAUCCCGUUGUAUAAUGACCACUAAAGUAUCAUUCUUUAAGGGACACUUUAGUUGCUCCUACCUUUUGCUUAUUGUGAAUAAUGCUGAUAUGACAAAUAUCUCUGGGAGACCCUGCUUUUAGUUCUUAUGGGGAUAUACCCAGAAAUGCUGGAUUGUAUGAUUAUUUUAUUUUUUGAGUCUCUUUUAAGCCUGAAAAAUUCUUUCUAGAAGGUUUAUCAAAAAGGCUUCCCCUACUGGACACAGUAGCUCACGCCUGUAAUCCUAGCACUUUGGGAGGCCCAGGUGGGCAAAUCAUGAGGUCGGGAGAUCGAGACCAUCCUGGCCAUGGUGAAACCCCGUCUCUACUAAAAUACAAAAAAUUAGCUGGACGUGGUGGCACACACCUGUAGUUCCAGCUACUCAGGAGGCUGAGGCAGGGAAAUCGCUUGAACCCAGAAGACGGAGGUUGCAGUGAGCCGAGAUCAUGCCACUGCACUCCAGCCUGGCAACAGAGCAAAACUCCGUCUCAAAAAAAAAAAAAAAAAAAGGCUUCCCCUUACACUUCUUUGUCCAGAU